AUUCUGUUUAAACUCAACAUCUUCUGAUCUUACAACUUUUCCUUCGUAGUCUGCCUAUCCGUCCUUGAUGAUUUGCCUCCUCUGGUUGCGGUUGCGUCGUCUUCUUCUUGUCCUGACCUGCUUAGAAUCUUCAACUAUGUAGUUAGAAUCAUUAAAGUAAUGGCGUACCUUCUCAGAGAGGAAAUACACGUGGACUUCUCCGGUUCCAAUGUAGAUGAUAACUUGGAUAGUGUUGAGGAAUGGUCUUCCAAGGAUGAUGGGUGGAUCGUACUCGUCUUCUCCCAUAUCAAUGUUCUGAAAAUCAUUUGGAGCUAAAUAUAUAUUGGUUGUAGGGGCAUGGUUCCAUGCAGGAGCUGAUAAGUGACUGCGGCCAUUAUGUUGACGUUAGAUCCGGUGUCGUAGAGUGUUUUCUAAAAAGAGUAUCUAUUGGUUGUGCACUCGAUGAUUGGAACACCAGGGUCGUCCUUCUUGAUCAAGAAAGGUGACUUGAGUCGACGAUCUUGACCUCCUUGAGCUGUAGUGACCAUCUUAGCUGACUCGGUCCACAUUUGCUUGUUCCUGUUCCUCCUGUUGGUCCUCUUCCUUGGUUCAUGUCGGGAUUGCUCUGAAGUUUAUGUAGUCUUGUUCUUGAAGAAAAGUCUCCUUCUUCCCCUUGAUGUAGAGACUGAUCUUGGCAUCAUUAGCGUAGAUGACAGCUCUGGUGUUUAGGAAUGGCCUCCGUAAGAUGAUGGGUGCCCUCUCCUCAGUACCAGUCUCUACCACCACGAAGUUUGCUGGAGCGUACAAGGUACCAACUUGGACACAGAGGUUCUUUAAUAUUUCCUUUGGGAAACUAAGUGAUAUGCUCACGCCUAGGGAUAGCGUGAGACAAGUCGUUGUGGCCCGAUCUUCUCGUAGGAUUCGCGAACUUGAUAACUUGUCGCUGCGUGACCUGGUGAAGAGGCAGUGCACCGCGAGGCUGUCCACGCGACGAACUACCGAGACAAUCACCCUUCCACGUACCGACGAACAGCCCACGUAAUCACGCCGUAUAGACGUGAAGGCACAAACUGGAUGAACCGGAGUUCGGCGUUCUACAACUCCCUCAGGAAUCGAAAGAACAAGUUUUGCAAGCCUCUCAAGACUCACGCAUAAACAAAACUCCACGAGUUUGUGUAUUCUGAAUUUUAACCAAGCAAGAUGUGUCCUUUCAUUGUCUAGUACAAGAGAUAUAUAUAGAUAGGGGCGUUCAGCUUUGAAUACAUGACAGCAUGCACAUCCACUAGUGGAUUUCGUGGCUGGUUCUCGCGUCUUCUCAGCUUCUGGCAGCAGUUACUAAAAUGAGCAUAACUCUUUAUUGGGAAGUCUAAAUAAUGAACUGUUUGAUGGGCUGCAACAUAGACUUAAAGAUGCUUUCAUCCAUCUGUAGAAUGCCACGUAACUCCUUGUAUUCUGUCCGUGGUGAUGCUUGGAAUUUGUACCAUGGGUCAGCCAUCUAGCUUCUGGUUGCCUUCUCAUGCAGAAGUAAUGAAUCACCAUUUUAUUUAUGCACACGAUAGGCUUCUUGGUUCAGAUGUCCAAAGGCUUGAAUCCAUCUUCAUCCCAUGCUGGUUCAUACCCUCCAUCAUUCCUAAGGACAUUGAAACAAGAACUCAAAAGUAUAGGAUCAUUCAACAUAAACUGAUUAUUAAACAUAAGGUUAGCGUUCACCUGAGAAUGAAUUUCCUUCUCCAAUUGUUUAGCUCUACUUCUUGUAAUUGGACCACUUAUAUCAAGUGGAGUUUCAUUUGAAGAUGAAUGAAUGCUAGGGAUGUCCUCAUCACUAAGUGUCUGAUCUCCAUUGUGUUUGUGCUCGUAGAUCCUGGUUCUUCACUUAAUGGAAUCUGGGAGUUGUAAAACGCCUUCACGUUUCUCAAAAUGUGUCCUGCUCAUAGAGACAAGGCAGAGAUCAAGUGCAUGGGCUCUGUUGGUGGAAAACACCAACAGAACCAAAAGUGUAUUUGUUCUUUUCUAACCUUAAGCAUAGUGAGCAAGACAAAGUUGAUGGAUCAUGAGUGUAGCAUUUAAAACAUUUGUUAGAUCAGAUGGCUCAACCUAAUGGAAAGAUAAUCUAUCUAUAUUUAUGUUUUGUUUUUAUCUUCCAAAGAUUGAAUGUGCAACAUAUUAGCUUAUAUGUUUAGGAGCGUGGGAUUACGAAGGCAGUACUAAGAACAAAGAUUAAGGGACUAAACAUGUUGAAUCAGUUAGGUUGGUUAAUUUAGAGUUAUAAAUCAUACAUGUUUGUCUCUUUAUUUAUGUGAACGCCACAAGGAGAAACUUAUAAAAGGAUAGUCAAGUACCUUAAGAUGUUACCUUUGAAGAGUGAUGGUACAGUAUCACCUUGUAGAAGCUUUCCUUUCUAGCGGUUGUGCAUCGUGUUUGUGGCUCCCUCCAUGGAUCAUCUCUUAUGAGCUACGUCUUUCUUAUGCAAAUUGUUAAACUUCAUGUGUCACUUUCUUUAUCUCCAAUGUGAUUUUAUCUCAGGACUUCCCAGGUUGAUAUUGAAAGUUUUCCUGCAGGGGUUAGUCCCACAAAAUAUACCAAUGUCUACACAAGCAAUUUUUAGUUCGAUAACCGAACUAGACUCCAUGUCUCAUCAGAUUAAGGAAGGCUGUUUAACCUAAGCAACAUGCUUAAUUUAAAAGCCAAUAGAAGUAUGUGCAGUACUUCCAAACUAACACUUACUAGGAUAAACAAAGGUAGCGUGAUGGCAUUUAUAGAGAUCUACUUAAGUGGAGAUGAAGUAGUGUGAUUAGUAUUUAACAAAUUGAGCAUGUCUCAAAGGUAAGGACAACCAACAUAGCAACAUGGCAAAGGAUGUGUUAUGUGAAGUACUCCCUAAGCUUGAAUUUUGCAAAAUUCAAGAUUGGAUGAAUUUAAUUCAAUGUUGCAUGUUGAUUGGUUGGGCAUACUUUGCGCUUGUCAUUCAUCCGGUCUUCUUGCUCCAAUCCUAGAAAGGUUAGUGACAAGAAUACCCGAAGGAAUAUUUCUACAAUUAUCUUAUAUGCUCAAUACACAAGGUAAUGAUGCAAGUAAUUAAAAGUUCAUGUUACAAUCUGAUAAGUGCUUGUUUUAGGACACUAAGCUUGUCCUUGGGAAACCAUCAAUUAACUCGACGAGAUCUGCAAUAUUUAUUAUAAACAUAUGCAUCGACAACCGCUCUUUUAAAGUUUUUAUAAAUAGAAAAGAAGAGAGGGUUGGAGAUCUCAAAUGUGGUGAUAGCACAUGAAUUUUUAAUGCCCUCUAGCCAUUGAUGUUGCUCUCCUCGAUCCUCCUUCUUAUGCAUGGGAUGUCUAGAGAGAUUCAUAGGAUUAUCGGGAGGUUCAAGAGAAAGAGCAUAGUAGAGAUUAUUAGGCUCAAGGAUGGGUUGGAUAGCCAAAUCAUGGGAUUGGAAUGUUUGGAAAUCGGCUAUUGAAACUUCCUCUCCUUGUAUGGGAGAUGAUUCCUUCUCUAUCUCUAAGAUUUUUCUGUGAAGACUAGUGCAAGAAGGAUGUCUACGAAUGAAGACAUACCUUCCUUUACUAAUAGAUAAAGAAAGAAAGACUCUACCAAAGAUUAUAUGAUUAAGACCAAUGUGAAAAUAUCUAUGAAAAACAUGGUCUUGUAGGGCUAGGUCUAAACCAGAAUUUAUAGAAAGAUUAACAGAUUCCCUAGGUGUAGCUAAAAGUGCAUUAUCUUCUUGAUUAAAAGAUAGGACCUCGGCUAUAGAAAAGGGUUGGUUUUGACCUAUUGCAAUCAACUCCGGACACAGAUCAUAAUUAGGGGCAGGACGUGUUGACUCCCAUGGUCUAUGGCUGGUCUCCGAAGGUGCAAAGAAUUUAAUAAUAGUUAUGGAAUUUGAGAUAUCCAUAAAGAUAAAAAGAUAAAAGAAUAAAAGUAUAAAAGUAUAAUACAAGAUAAUAGCAAGACUCAAAGUUAUCUCAGCAAACCGUCUUUCUCCCCGGCAACGGCGCCAGAAAUGCUUGUUGAUAUUUGGGAACGCAAUAAGGAAAUGAUCCGCAAGCGCACGGAUAUCGGUGAGCAUUUCACCCGGGAGGUUUUCCAGAGUAUCGUAUUUAUAUUUUUACCACUGGGAGAAAGGGUGCAUCUGACUAACCAAAUCUAUUGCUACUAUCCCUUUAGGCACAAAGAAUGUCUUUCGAUGUGAGUGAUAAAUAGAGAAGACUGCAACCGUAGUCUCCUUCUAACCUUGGUAAGGAUGAUCUACUGUUCUAAUGGGGAGGCUAACGGAAUCUAGACACCACAAAGGAUGUUCGACCCGCACCUAUAAACCCUAUCCUUCCUGCUAACGAGAUGUGAUCUACAAAGUAAACUCAUAAACCAUAAGAACAAUAAACAAGAACUUACUAGAAUUUAGAAGUCGAAUUAUUGAAGAAUCCUAGGAGCAAGCUUCGGGUUAGGAGAACUUGAUCCCGCAGGUACAAGCUUGGAGUAGACACCGACAGGCCGGGCUUCCUCCACUCUACACCUCCACUCUAUAUCUCUCAAUCUAGUAGAAACUAGAAGAUCUAUUUCUACCUUACAUUGAUUGCUAAGCCUAAAAAAGAAAUAUUAAUUAGAGAAGAGGUUUUCCUUCGAGGGCACCCCUCAGUCUCUAUGAUAAUUUCUUCAUGUCUUCUCCAGGGGCCAGGGGGGCCUCGCUUAUAUAGUCCUCCCCUUCUAUGCGUUUUUGGGUCGAUAGCCGAGGUGGUACUAUGUUUUUCUUGAUCCAAUAGGUCGGUGGAAUAUCCUGAGCGAAGGAGUCCUGAAUUGGCUCCAGCAGGGGGGCGGGCGCCCAGGCUACCAGGGCGGGCGCCCUGGGCCUGGCCCAACUUCGCCUCAGCUUCGGUCUCGUGGCUUCUGGAGUCUUCUAGAUGAUGUAAAAUUGCGCGGUGCGUUGAUAUCUCUAUGUAAUCCUGACAUGUGGGCCUUUCUUCCUUAUUUCCUGAUAACCCCCUGCAGAAAUAGAUAAACAACAAAACUCGUGGAAUUCUGUCAGAUCAAACCCUAAUUCUAGGUGAUGGUUGCAUAUUGGUCCUUUCUCUUGUUUAUUUGAUAAUUAAAAUUGAUACUUAAGAACCGUCAACAGCCGGCUUGGUCGAGGACCACUAGGAAGUAGUUGGUCGUGACAUGCUCGUCCCCUGCUACAGACCGGACUGCGAUCUCGUAAAGAGUGAUCUAGUUUUCACAAUUCUCAUUGGCAUCGUAUUUUUUGAGCUUCUCAAGCUUGAAGUUGUGGGGCCACACGACUUAGCGAAGGUGUGACGAGAAAUGUCUUAGGCCAGGGGGGCCGUGUGCUGCAUCGUACUCGAUGCGUCGCACGUUUUCGUGUACUGCUCGUUCCGUAAUGCGCGUGUUGAUGCGUUCACGGACAUCCUUAGGAGGGAUGUUGUGUCGUAGAUCCCAGUCUUGGUUCACCUCCUGACCACAUCCGCGUCUUUGUUCGUGGUAACUACCAGCAUCCCGACCACGAUUGUCGUGACGGGUGUCCUUCCUUCGAUUAUUGACAGGUGAACGGCUACGAUGGUGCCCACCAGAUCGCGGUGAGGUGCAGCUGUGAUGAGUCUGGUCGAAGGUGACCUCCGUAUAGGAAACGGCUUGGACCGUUUUGAGCAGAGUAGCGGUCUGACCCAUGGCCGCAAUCAGAAGCGCCCGUAUGUUGGUUCGAAUGUCCUGAUAUUCCGGAGUAUCGAGAAAGCGAUCUAAGUUUGCCAUGGAGACGGCCACAUUGGCGCUUGGUGUCUUGUAGACCUGCUGAUUUCCAACCAUGUCGAAAGCAUCGCUAAGAUUAUGUGGGGCAAGCUGUCGUUCCUCGUCUGCUCGUCGUUGGGCACGGUCGGCGUUGCGCUGCUCUCAUUGCUGUCUCUGUUCGUCAGUUUCACCGUCAACAACUGGUUCGUCAUUACUGACGUUGAGAACCAAGUCUCCUCGUCGAGGUGUAAAGACUGAGAAGUGGGAGAACCCCGUGGGGUAUGGUGGGAGAUCUAAAUCGUAUUCUUCGUCCUCGGGGUGUAAAAUCUCGGUAGGGACAGAUCCUGUACUGGAGCUUGUACUACUGGACAUGUCUUCCGGCAAAGUGCAGAUGGAGACCAUAUUGACGAAGUGACGGGCUGUUUGCCUGUUUUGGCUCAGCAACAAGCCUGCCUUCCCGAAUAGAGAUUGGGUAUGCCGUGAAAACUGACCAGUCGCGUUGCUCAGACCAUAAGGGCAAUUCUGGUCAGGGGAGGCUGUCUUGAGCUUGACGGUUCGUCCCGUGGUGGUCGAUGUUAUCGUCAGGGACGUCCCCAGUCGUUCGUGCAUGGAGGCACGAGUUAGUCAACGGGAGUCGAAAAAAUUUGUUGUUACCGCCUAAUCAGGCUUGCGUGGAAUCGAAUCCACCAGGUUGGAGGCUUCGAGAAGCUUGUGGUCGGCGCGAUCGAGGGCUUGAAGAAGAUCCAAGUUGUCGACUCGCUUUGCCCUAUAGUGAGGGAGCGAAGGUCGGGUUCUCGGAGUCGGCGUGAUCGGAGUCCACGCCUCUACUGUCCCAGAUUGGAUCCGGAUUUCCUCCGGAGUCGUGGUCGUAAGGCUACCGCCGUGAGUUGUCCAAGUGAUCUGUCCAACGGUGAACGUGAGACCUUAAGCCACGGCCGCAGAAGCUGGAACGAUGACCAUCUUGUUCGUCGGGAGAGCUGUACGCACAACCCCUACCUGGCGCGCCACUGUCGACGAAAGCUAGUCAGCAGUCUACCUUGGGGUAUACCCAUGGUAGUAGUUUAUCGGCAAAAAGGUGCGCAAGCUACGAACUUGAUGGUGGCGCAAGAUACGGACAAGGUUUCUAUCCAGGUUCGGCCGCCGUGUGCGCGUAAUACCUAUGUCUUGCGUCUGAUUGUAUUGUUGUGGAUUGUGUUGAGUUGAGAUGAGAUGUCUAGGCGGGUCCCUUGCCUCUCUUUAUAUAGUCCAAAGGGCAGGGUUACAGAUCUGGAAACUAAUCCUAGUCGGUUACAACUGCCAUAGAUAACACGAUAUCAAUUCCUAUUCUAACCGACUAGAAUCUUGCUUGAUCUCCACGUCUUGCUUCCUUGCGUGAAACUCCGAGCAAUUAGAUCAAGCCUCAACUGUCUCGUGAUGGGCCAAGCCUCCUGGCCCAAGUCUAGCCGUAAGGGUAUAGGGGUUAUAUCAAGGAGUUAUAUCAGGUGCGUCCUAAUUGAUUUCUGAGCAUAUCAUAUGUUCCAUGCAAACCGUGCAUCUAUCUUGCAUCAAGAUUAGCACUAUCUCCAAACAGACCAAACCGAGCUGUCACUUGAGCCCCUUGACCUUGGAGUACCAUCGGGUGCGUCCAAAAUGGUUUCUUAUCCUUUGGUGCAUCAGGUGCAAACUGUGCACCUAUCUUGCACCGAAACUAACACUGUCUCUAAGCAAGAUUUCGUAUGGCACACGUCAUCUAGGAGUUCCAUCAUGUGCCUCGAGAUUGAUUUCCAAGCAUUUGGUAUGUUCCAUGCAAACCGUGCACCUAUCUUGCAUCAAGAUUAGCACUAUCUCCAAACAGACCGAACCAAGCAUCAACUUGAGAUCCUUCACCUAGGAGUACCAACAAGAGCAUCCAAAAUGGUUGCUUAGACUAUGGUGCAUUAGGUGCAAAGUGUGCACCUAUCUUGCAUCAAAACUAACAAUGUCUCCAAAUGAACCGAAGCGAGAUUCCAUAUGACACACGUCAUCAAGGAGUUCCAUCGGGUGCAUCCAAAUUGAUUUCCAAGCAUAUAAUAUGUUCCAUGCAAACCAUGCACCUACCUUGCAUAAGGAUUAGCACUAUCUCCAAAGUGACCGAACUAGGCUUCCACUUGAGCCUCUUCACCUAGGAGUACCAAAUAGUGCAUCCAAAAUGGUUUCUUAGACUAUGGUGCAUUUGGCCCAAACUGUGCACCGAUCUUGCACUAAAACAUACAAUGUCUACAAACGGACCGAAGCAAGAUUCUAUAUUGAAAGGAUCAAGAUGCCCAAGAGGGGGGGUGAAUUGGGCUUCUCUAAAAAUUUAAGCAACCUAUAAGCUCCCAUUCAACCCCUUGUGCCUAGUGUGACUAGAGAGCUACCGUAUAAAAGUUUCGCAACCUAGUUCCAAUCCUAUUCUAGCAUGGCAAUUCUAAGAAUGUAAAAGCACAAAGUAAACACUAGAAGGUAAAGGAGUAGUGGAAGAAAGUGCUCGGUGAUGUUUUGCCGAGCUAUCGGAGAGUCGCCACUCUCCACUAGUCCUCGUUGGAGCACCCGCGCAAGGGUCUUGCUCCCCCUUGGUCUGCGCAAGGACCAAGUGCUCUCUACAGGCUGAUUCUUCGACACUCCGUCGCGGUGAAUCGCCCAAAACCGCUCACAAGCAUGACACGAGCCACCCACAAGAACUCCGGGCGGUCUUCAUGCGUCCAAUCACCACCGAACCGUCUAGGUGAUGGUGAUCACCAAGAGUAACAAGCAAAGAACUCUCACUUGACACAAACAAGGCACUAGAGAGUGGUGGAUGCACACUUGACUCUUGGAAUUCAACUAGAGAAGGAUUCUCACAAGAAAUCACUCAAAUCUCAAUCCUCUCUAGGCUCUUGCUACUCUCUUGCUCCAAAACAAGUUUCUCUGAUGUUCAAAUGGGCAAGAGAGCUCUCAUGGACGAUGUGGAGGAGUAUAAAUACACCCCCACGAAGUCCAAAGGUCAACCAACCUUUUUCCACUGAAAACGGAGUCACCGGACGCUGUUGAUGUUGCACCGGACGCUCUGCACCGAGCGUCCGGUGACAUCCAACGGCUAACUGUACCUACGUCUGACAGGUCACCGGAUGCUACUUCCCAGCGUACGGUGGCAGCGUCCGGUGCUCUGGGGAGUUUUAUAAGCUCCCUGAGUUUAAGACCGGACGCUACCCGGUGCGUCCGGUGCUCGGGGUAGGUUUACAACCUCCCUGAGUAUGGGACCAGACGCUGCCCGGUGAGUCCGGUGCCACCGUCUGGUGACUAACCCUAGGCACCGAAGCUCUCCAAUGGCUAAGGACCUCACCGGACGCAUUCACAGAGCGUCCGAUGCCUACUUAGGCACCCUAACUUCGUCGAAACGCGAUCGUUCCAAAAUGAAGUUGGUUCCUCUCGAUCUAAGGACUAUCUCUGAGAUUCCUAGUGCUAGGUUUACCAAGUGUGCACCACACCUAAACCUAAAGCCUUGCCUAAGUCAAGAUACUAGAUCAAAACCCCUCUUAAUAGUAUGGUCAAAGGAAAACAAAGUCCUAACCUAUUCUAAGUGCCCUUGUUCACCAUAUGGCACUUAGACCUAGUCUAGUCUUGACAAUGUCCAUCCAUCCUUUGAAAACCGAAACGAUUUCCACUAUUAAGUAGGCAUGUACGUCCCUGUUCAUCGAGUACCUAUUACCAUGACCUCACUAAUGACUUUGCCUCUGCAAAACACACGUUAGUCACAAUAAUCAACAUUGUCAUUAAUCACCAAAAUCAUUAGGGGCCUAGAUGCUCUUUCAAUCUCCCCCUUUUUGGUGAUUGAUGACAAUAACCUCAAGUAGGAAAGAGAAUGAGGUUUUCAAUUGACUUGGUUUCUAUCAGCAUGAGACAAUAAGAACAAAAAGGAUUAGGCAUGCUUAUAUUAAUCAAGUCUAUCAUCUUGCAUCCAAAUAUGUGAGAUGUAUACAAUAGGAUAUAAACAUAUAAGGCUUAUAGUACAUCGGAGUAAAAACGCUAAAGCAAAGUAAUAUGAGCCAAAGACAUGACAUAAAAAUAUCACAGAUAAGCAUAAGUCAUGUCUCACAACCAUAAAGGUAUCUCACAAGAGUAUCUCACACAAAUGCAAUGCAAAAACGUAAACAUGAUGCAUGGCAGAGUAGCACACAAAAGUAUAUCAAAAGAACAAAGCCCACUCUAGCUCUAGCUCUAGCUCAGCUCCUCCUAACUCUCAUACUCUCAACUCUCUCCCCCUUUGGCAUCAAGCGCCAAAAACCUAAGACGAAGGAGGUGGAGGCGGAGCAGUGGAGUCCCUCGGCACGACCUGAAACUGUGCUGUAUCAUCUGAUCCAUCGGCCGUCGAGUCGGAGGAGAUAGAGUGAUCCUCUGAAGCUGCACGUACUGGAGAAGCAGUCUAGGUCGGAUCUAUGGGCUCUGAAUCCAUCACGGGCUGUGCUGGCUGCUCAAGUCCUGCUGACGAAGCUAGCACAGACUCUGUCGCUGUAGCUGACGUCUCUCGUACGGUAGAGGAAGGUGCAAGCUGCUCAGACGAAGCAACUGACGACGACAGGCACUUAGUGGUGGUAACUGGGACCGUAAAGGCUACAGGAGCCUGCAGAGGUGGAGGCGUAGGGUCACCAGUCAGAUCACUGUAAGAGAAACUGAGGUGCUGGCCUGCCGACGAAUCCAACACAAGCUGGGACGCUGUCGCUGACUGAGGUGUAAAUCCUGAGCGUAGAGGCGUGAACUGAGGCACCUGCUCCAAGCCAGACGAGAUAGCACCCUGUGAAACCUGGUGCUGUGGCGUCGAGAAGGGCUGACUCUGAGCAGGGAGCUGAAGCGGCUGCUGGGACUGACUCUGUGGCACUGGUGUAGGAGGCCUGACUCACGAAGUGCCUGGGAGGUGUAUCUGAGGAAGCUGAAUCCCUAAGGCGGCCAUAAGAGUGGCCAUCAUCGCCGUCUGCUGAGCCUGGAAUGCAAGCUGCUGCUCCUGGAAGGUCAGAAGCUAUCUCUAGAGCUCGUCCUACCUAGCCUGCAUGGCUGCAUUGGUGGCAGCCUGGUCCCUGUCUCGCCUAGCCUGCUGCUCAGCUGCCCGCCGCUGAUCGGCUCUCAUCCCCUCUAGAAUAGCAAGUAGAGCGGGGUCUGAAGUACUCGAGGAACCUCCUGCCUCGUGGUCGUGCAGCCUCGGAGGAAGGUCUUACACUGGAAGACGAUAAUCAUUGUCUGAGCUGUCCGAAGCAAAGUCAAACUCCUCCUUAGCCUCAGCGUCUGCAAACGCCCCAAUGGCGAUAUCCUGCUCCUCCUCAGUCUCUGGGACUACUCCUGAACUGCGAGUGCCCCUAGGAGAGGGUGGUGGCACCUGGCCACGUGGUGCACGAGGAGGUGGCGGAGCUCUAAGGUCGUGAUGCGCUCUCUGCAUCUGCCGGGGGUCAUAGUGAGGGAACACGGUGUCAGAGUCUGUCAGCUCUCUCUGCAGGUGAGCUGGAAGAGGUACUGGCCUAGCACGAAGGAUGAGCAUGGUGAUCCAGUGUGCAUACAGCAGCUGACGCCGACCCCUGAAACUCUCUGAAAUAGUGUCCUCAAUCUCUAAGACUAUCAAAUCCCACAAGUCAAAUGGCGUCUUCGAGAUCAGAUGGGCUACCAACCACUGCUGAAUCCUGGUGAAGCCGUCUUUGUAUCCUGUCCUGGGAAAGAGCGUCUUCCUCAACACAAAGUCAAGGAUCCUGGCUGGGCGAGUCAAGUCUCCCACUGACCUGCUGGAGCCCUCUACAAAAGGUUGACGGAAACAGGGAGCCACAAAGUCAACUGGUGGUAGAGCACCACCGUGAGGACGUCGAGGAGGCUCGAAGUUCCCGUAGCAAAGCUGAUGGAUCCGAGUGGAAUAGGCUCUCAAACCAAGAACCUCUCUGGCCCUCUCUGCUGUCACUCCGUAGUCAGUGCCUGCCAGUGCGUAGUUGAUAUAGCUAUGGUCUGGUGAAACCCACACUGAGGCAUAAAACUCUCGGACCCACUCCUCACAAUAAGUGCCCGGUAAAGCAAGUAACUCUCGAAGACCGGUCAGGUAGGUGAAGUACUGUCUGAUGUCCGCACCGACCACGUUCCCGAGUAUCUCAAGGUCAAGCACCCUAUGCUCCGUGAACUGAGCCUAUGAGCGGACAAGUGCCUCGUACAUAUCCUCGUGAACCACUAUAUAGAACCUGGCACUGGCUCUCAGAUCCCUGGCAGCUGGAAACAAAGUCGGAAAGGGAACAAACCGUAGCUCCUGGAUCUCUCGAGCUGGAACCUGGGUCUAAUCCUUUUGUAUCCUCACUGGUGCUGGAUGAGGAGUUGUAGGGCCACGAGCUAGAGUAGAGCGAGCAGCGGAGGUGGACUGACCCUGCGUAUCAGUUUAGGGAUGGCCUGAGUACGAGCGUGAGUCGACCUCCUGAUGGGCUGCUCCCGCUGUUGUGCCUCUGUCAGGCCCUCUGCCUAGGCCUCUGCCUCUGUCUCGGUGUCUGGGUCCUCCUGAGCUGACUCUCUGACUGCAAUCCUGACACGCUGACCUCCUAGCAUGAUAGUGCUAGGAGGAGACCCGUGUAGAGCCUCAGCCUCAAGAAUUGCAUGCCUCUGCCGUGGUGAGAGAUCGGCCCCUAUCCUCAGGGCACCUGAGCGUCCACCCCUCUCUACUGCCACAGCUGCUGCUGCUACUGCCUCGGCCACCUUUGCCUCUAUGUCACUAGUCUUCCUUUUCUUGGUGGCAAGCUUUUUGCCUUUUCCCUUCUCUGCCGCUGACAGGCGACGGGGAGGACCCCCUGAGAACCCCCUGAGCUGGUUGCCGGACCACUGACAAUCUUGCAACGUGCCAUUGCAAGAAACUAUCCCUAAAACACUACCGACAACUGACCAACUAUCACUCAAGAUGCUUGGCCUCAAUUCGUACCCACGGGCUUGGCCCUGAGUUGGCUAUCGCUGCCAAACUGUCACAAUAGAUCAACGUGCUGCAAGAGAUGGAAUAUAUAGGGUAUACAUAAGCAAACAUAAUAGCAAGAGGUGAGAAGACCCUAUAGAACGCAAGAUUAGAUAAAGAACGGGCGCAAACGGCUUACGAUCGGGCGACGAGACGUGUUCCGGAUGAAAGAUCUCAAUCAGAAUCCGUUGGGGAACGCGAGUCAACUCCUCAAGGUGCUAUGAAGGGUAAACGAAGGGGAACAUUGUCAAAAACAACAUUCAAAUUCGUUUAGGCAUUAAACCAAACACCUUAAGGGCAGGGGAGUUCAGUCUCACCUCAAAAAUUAGAAACCUCGAGAGAAGAAGGAUCCUGGCAUGAGGAGAGGAAAGGAGGACGCCUUGGGAAGAGAUCUGGCUGUGGGGAAGAAAAAUCCACGGGGAAAAACCUCUUCACCGGCGGUGGCGACUUGCAGGCAGCUAGGGCACGGGGGUGCGCUGCGGGCUGGGCGAAGUCGUUGGGAGAGAGAAGAACUGACGAAACAGAUGCGGAUCUCGGGGUUAUAUGCACCUGUCGCAGGGUCACCGGAUGCUCUUUAUAUGGCACCGGACGCGUCCGGUGACCACCAGACUAAAACAGAGAGAUUGUUUUAAUUCGGCCGAGCACCAGACGAUGGCCACCGGACGCUGGCCUAAGCGUCCAGUGCCCUAGGGCAUGCCGGGCGAAACACCAGACGCACCUCACCGGAUGCUGCUGGGACACUGUUCCUGCGUCCGGUGAGUGCUGUCCAACAGACUCACCACACCGGACGCACCGAAGCAGCGUCCGGUGCACCUCUGGCACUUUUUUCAACUAAGAACCUCGUCCGAUUUUUACCCAACCAAGUUCCAACUUCAAGAAGACUCAAAUAAACACUGGUUGGAACUAGUAUGAGUAACCUCUCUCAAACCCUCAAAUUUUCACAAGUAUUUAGCCUUAGGCUUAGUAGUUUUUAUAAAAAUAGUCAUGUGAAAAGAACCGAGGAGCAUCGUAUGGCCAUAAAGCUAGGGGUUUAAAUCCAAGUGAGCUUUGAAUGCUCCCCCUAUCUAUGGACGAACAGAGCGGAUGCUCAAAGCAUAACCAAAGAGAAAUGGUUAACUAACAAGCAUUCAAAUGAUAUGAGGUGAAAUGCAAUACUUUAAAGUAAACUAAUGCUUGUCAAGUUUGAUCCAAGGUUAAGCUUUUUCACACACACAAGGGGGUUAUCUUAACCAUGUUAGACAAGCCCUACACACAAUUCUUUUUGUAUUUUAGUUUUGGUAUCCAUGAUAUGCAAAACAAAAACUAUUUACAAGUUCAACACACAACUUCAUUUUUUAGUGAAGUUAGAGAGAUCAAGCACAAUAAGUUCAUUUCUCAACAUACAAAACCUAGCUUCAUCUAGGGGUUUUGUGAAGAUAUCCGCCAAUUGAUUUUCCGUUCCCACAUUCUCUAGAGAUAUGUCACCUUUAGCAACAUGAUCCCUAAGGAAGUGGUGGCGAAUGUCAAUAUGUUUUGUGCGGGUGUGUUGAACCGGGUUGUUAGCAAGUAUUACGGCACUUUCAUUGUCACACAAUAAAGGUACUUUGUCUAGUACUACUUCAUAGUCUAGCAAAGUUUGUUUCAUGUAGAGUAUUUGUGCACAACAAGCACCGGCGGCAAUGUAUUCCGCCUCGGCCGUUGACAAAGCAACACUAUUUUGUUUCUUUGACAUCCAAGAGACAAGUGAUCUACCUAGGAAGUGGCACCCUCCGGAUGUGCUUUUUCUAUCAAUCCGACACUCGGCAUAAUCCAAAUUGGAAUAGCCUACAAGUUGGAAUCUUGCACCUUUGGGAUACCACAAACCUAGGCAAGGUGUGUAUUUUAGAUACCUAAGAAUUCUCUUGACGACAAUCAAGUGAGAUUCCAUAGGCAUUGCUUGAUAUCAGCACACAUACACACACUAAACAUGAUAUCGGGCCUAGAUGCGGUGAGGUAGAGUAGACUUCCUAUCAUGGAAUGAUAGAGAGUCUUGUCAAUUGGGUUACCUCCCUCAUCUAAGUUGAGAUGCCCAUUUGAUGCCAUGGGAGUCUUGAUUGGCUUGCAAUUCAUCAUCUUGAACCUCUUGAGAAGAUCUUGAGUGUACUUCUCUUGAGAGAUGAAGACCCUUUCCUUCAUUUGCUUGACUUGAAAUCCUAGGAAGAAGGAUAGUUCGCCAAUCAUGGACAUCUCAAACUCCUUGGACAUCAAAUCACCAAAUUCCUUGUAAAAAUCUUCAUUAGUAGAGCAAAAAAUAAUAUCAUCAACAUAAACUUGACAAAUGAAGAUUUCCCCAUUCAUUUUCUUGGUGAAGAAUGUUGUGUCAACUUUCCGAAUCUUAAAGCCCUUCUCAAUGAGGAAGUCCCUAAGCCUCUCAUACCAAGCUCUAGGAGCUUGCUUGAGACCAUAGAGAGCCUUGGACAACCAAUAGACAUGCUUGGGGUACCUAGGGUCUUCAAAACCAGGGGUUGCUCAACAUAGACAAGCUCAUUAAUAUAACCAUUCAAAAAAGCACUUUUCACAUCCAUUUGAAAUAACUUGAUAGCAUGACUAGAUGCAUAUGCAAGUAGGAUACGGAUUGCUUCAAGUCUUGCCACCGGUGCAAAGGUUUCACCGAAGUCAAGACCUUCCACUUGUGAAAAGCCUUUUGCCACGAGCAUUGCCUUGUUGCGCACCACUUUGCCUUGAUCAUCCUUCUUGUUCUGGAAAACCCACUUUGUUCCAAUCACUCUUGCAUCUUUGGGUCGCUCUUCAAGUGUCCACACUUGGUUGCGAGAGAAGUUGUUCAACUCCUCUUGCAUGGCAAUGAUCUAAUCCGCAUCACGAAGAGCUUCCUCUAUAGUCUUUGGUUCAUCUUCAAGAGACACAAAAGCAUGAUGUUCAAUAAAUAAAGCAUGUCUAGAGCGUAGUUACACCACGUGAUGGACUCCCGAUGAUGAGAUCUUGAGAGUGAUCUUGGAGGAGAUGUGAUGAUCUUCUUGGCGCCACUUGAGGGGUUGCUUGGGGAGCAUCAACAUCUUGUGCUUGUGCCACCGCUUGCUCAUGAGUGACUUGAGUGUCUUCAUAAGCAUCUCUCACAUCCUUGUCUUCAUCUUGUGGUAUAUGUGAGGUGGAUGGUGGCUCAAUGACUUGCACAUCAUCAUCUUCUUUUGGCUUGAUGUCUCCCACCGGAAUGUUCUUCAUGGCAUCCCUCAAUGGUUCACCACCUACAUCAUCAAGAUUAUCACUUGCUCCUUGAGAGCCAUUAGUUUCAUCAAAUUCAACAUCAAAUGUUUCUUCAACCAUGUUUGUGGCAUGGUUAAAGACCCUAUAUGCCUUGGACUUUGAUGAACAGCCAACCAAGUAGCCAAUGUCACAUCUUCUUUGGAACUUGCCCAAGUGUUGGCGCUUCUUGUAGAUGUAGCACUUGCACCCAAACACUCUAAAGAAUGAGACAUCGGGCUUCUUCCCAUUGAGCAACUCAUAUGGUGUCUUCUCUAGGAACUUGUGAGGAAAGAGCCGGUUUGAUGCAUAGCAUGCGGUGUUGAUUGCCUCGGCCCACAUCUUCUCCGAAGUGUUGUACUCAUCUAGCAUUGUUCUUGCCAAGGUGAUCAAUGUCCGGUUCUUUCUUUCUACAACCCCAUUUUGUAGUGGUGUGUAUGUUGAGGAGAACUCUUGUUUGAUUCCAACUUCAUCACAAUAUUCAUCAAUGUUGGUGUUGUCAAACUCUUUGCCAUUAUCACUCCUAAUCUUCUUGAUCUUGACAUCAAAUUGAUUUUGGGCAUUCUUUGCAAACUUCUUGAAUAUGGAUGCAACUUCGGCCUUGUCUUGCAAGAAGAAUGUCCAAGUGUACCGGGAGUAAUCAUCAACUAUGACCAAGCAAUAUUUGUUGCCUCCAAGACUAGCAUAUGUGGUAGGUCCAAAUAAAUCCAUGUGGAGUAGCUCAAGCACUCUUGAAGUAGAGAGAUAGGCCUUGGUUGGAUGAGUGUUUGCAACUUGCUUGCUGGCUUGACAUGCACUACAAAGCUUGUCUUUUUCAAAUGUCACAUCCUUCAAGCCUCUAAUCAAUUCUUUCUUCAUCAACUUCUUGAGUGUGCCCAUUCCAACAUGUGCUAAACUUCUAUGCCACAACAAACCAAGUGAGGUCCUGGUGAAUAAGCAAGUCUUGACAUCAACUUCAUCGGAUGAGAAAUCAACUACAUAUAAGUUGUUGUGUCGGAAGCCUUUGAAUACCAUUUCAUUAUCAUCCUCCUUGGUCACAAUUACUUCUUUCUUCUUGAAUAAGCAUUCAAAACCAAGAUCACAAAGUUGUCCAACCAAGAGCAAAUUGAAACCUAAUGAUUGCACAUAGAGCACAUUGGUGAUGGAGUUGUCAUUUGAUAUAGCAACCUUUCCUAGUCCCUGGACCUUACCUUUUGAAUUGUCACCAAUUGUGAUCUUCUCUUGGUUGUCAACAUCUUCAUCAAGAGAGGUGAACAUCCGGGGAUCUCCGAUCAUAUGUUGAGUGCAACCACUAUCAAUUACCCAAUGUGAUCCACCGGUCUUGUAGUUCACCUACACACACAAGAGAUCAAGCUUGAGAUUUAGGGACCCACAUUUGCUUAGGGCACUUGACCUUCUCUACUAGUUGCUUUGGCACCCAAAUCUUCUUUGGCCUUUGCUUGUUGGGCGGCCCCAUGAAGCUAACCUUGACCUUGCCACUCUUGUCUUUCCUUACAAUGUAGUGAGCAUUGAAGGCAAAUGGUCUAGCAUGCUUGGGCAAGGGUGGUGGUAGUGGUGCCUCACACUCAUUAGCAAAGUGUCCUUCUUGACCACACUCAAAGCAUCUCUUUGGCUUUGGCUUGCUUAGUUGAUCAUGAGUGGCUAGUGACUUGAUGAGCUUUGUUUGAUGAGCCUUGUAGCCAAUCCCACUCUUGUCCAUCUUCAUGACGGUGUUCAUGAAUAGUUCACUUUGAAGGUCCUUCCCUUUUGUGAACUUGGCUAACCCCUUGGUUAGAUGUUCCUUCUCUUUCUUGAUCUUGCUAUUCUCUUGAGUUAGCUUCUUGAUGAUUGGGUCAUUGUUGCUAGCUAACUCAUCUAAGAUGAAUGUCUCAUCUUCUUCUUGCUUGUCAUACAUCAAACCAAGCUUGAGAUAUUGAUUUUCUUCCAUGAGUAACUUGUUCUCAUAUGCAAGCUUCUUGUCUUGAUCAAGUGACUCAAUCACAAUUGUUUUGUGCUUGGCUUGCUCUUGCAACUCUUUCUUCAGCAUGACAACUUCUUCCUUGAGCUUGAUAGUGUCCUCAUAGCUCUCGGCCACUACCACUUUCUUGCCCUUGCAAUCAACACAUUUGCUUGUGCUCUCCACAAGUAAGUCAUCACAAGAUGUGGCUACAUCAAGCUUAGCAACAUGGUUAGUAGCAACAUGUGUUUCAUCAAUUGCAAGUUCAUAAGCUAUCUCAAGGUUGUCAUAGUUUGCUUUUAGAGUUGUUAGUUCUUCUUUCAUUGCUCUAUAUCUAGUGAUAAGCUCAUCAUGAACACUCUCAAGUUUGUCAUGUUUUUCUUUGAGUUCUUUUAAAGAGAGUUUGAGCUCCGUGAGCUUAGUGGUCAUGAUCUCAUUUUAGUCUCUAAGCUCAUCACUAGAUUUAAGCUUUGCUAGAAGAGUUUCAUUUUCAAGUUCAAGCUUUUCAUUUUCACUUCUAGUCUUUCUUAUGACCUUAGUGUACUUGUUUAGCAAUUUUACAAGUUCAUCAUAAGAAGGUGAUUCAUAUUCACUAUCAUUUUCACUACUCUCAUCCUCACUUUGUACCUUCCGGUCACCUUUAGCCAUGAGGCAUAGGUGUGUAGAGGAUGUAGAUGGUGGUGAAGGUGAUGGUGAUGAAGCAUCAAUAGCAAUGGCGGCAACCUUCUCAUCAUCACUCUCAUUGCCGGAGGAGUCACCACUUGAGCUCUCAAUGUCGGUGAGCCAAUCACCAACAAUGUAGGCCUUGCCAUUCUUCUUCUUGUGGUACUCCUUCUUGCCACCUUUCUUCUUGUAUGGCUUCUUGUCAUUCUUCUCAUCAUCACUUGAAUCAUCUUGCUCUUUGUUCUUCUUCUUGUACUUGUCCUUUUUGGGCUUUGGACAUUGAUGAGCAAGAUGACCAAGUUCACCACAAUUGUAGCAAUCCAUCUCGGAGAUGGGCUUUCUCUUGCUACUUGUGAAGAACUUCUUCUUGGAGUCAAAGUUGACUCCAUUCUUGUUGAGCUUCUUCAACAUCUUGGUAGUUCUUCUCACCAAGAGGGCAAUGGAUGCAUCAUCAUCACUUGAUGUUGAUGACUCAACUUCAAUUUUCUUGGCUUUGCCCUUGUGAGAAGCUUUGAGGGCCAAGUCCUUCUCCUUCUUGGUUGAUGAGGAGCCAUCUUGGGGGUUCAUGUGCAUAUACAUCUCAUGAGCAUUGAUCUUCCCCAAUAUGGCCGUUGGUGUAGCGGUGUAGAGAUCGCCUUGAUGAAGCACGGUUACUAUGUGCCCAUAUUUCUCAAUGGGAAGCACACAUAGUAUCUUUCUUGCGACAUCCGCCGCACUCAUUUGAGUGAGCCCAAGUCCAUUAAGCUCCUCUAUAAUCACAUUCAAGCGAGAAUACAUUUCAUUAGCAUUUUCUUUAGGAAGCAUCUCAAAUGUAUUAAGCUUGUUCAUCACAAGGUGAUAGCGUUCCUCGCGUUCACUCUUUGAUCCCUCAUGGAGCGCACAAAGUUCCUUCCAUAGAGCAUGGGCGGUUUUGUGGUUCGGAAUGCGGUUGAACACCCCUUUGCAAAGGCCUCUAAAGAUGUGGUUUUUGGCCUUUGCAUUCCACUUUUUGUUUUCUUGUUCUUGUGGAGUAAGAACAGCGUCUUUUGCUGGAGGGGUAAACCCUUCGGUCGUGGCUUUUAGGCACUUUGAGUCACAUGCCUCAAGGUAUGACUCCACCCGUAUUUUCCAAUACGGGAAGUCAUCCCCAUCGAACAUGGGUGGCGGUCCAUCCCCGUUAGACAUCUUUCUCUAGGCGGUGAAGCCUAAAUAAAGAGCACUAGGCUCCGAUACCAAUUGAAAGGAUCAAGAUGCCCAAGAGGGGGGUGAAUUAGGCUUCUCUAAAAAUUUAAGCAACCUAUAAGCUCCAAUUCAACCCCUUGUGCCUAGUGUGACUAGAGAGCUACUGGAUAAAAGUUUUGCAACCUAGUUCCAAUCCUAUUCUAGCAUGGCAAUUCUAAGAAUGUAAAAGCACAAAGUAAAUGCUAGAAGGUAAAGGAGUAGUGGAAGAAAGUGCUCGGCGAUGUUUUGCCGAGGUAUCGGAGAGUCGCCACUCUCCACUAGUCCUCGUUGGAGCACCUGCGGAAUGGUCUUGCUCCCCCUUGGUCCGCACAAGGACCAAGUGCUCUCUACGGGUUGAUUCUUUGACACUCCGUCGCGAUGAAUCGCCCAAAACCACUCACAAGCUUGACACGAGCCACCCACAAGAACUUCGGGCGGUCUUCGUGCCUCCAAUCACCACCGAACCAUCUAGGUGAUGGCGAUCUCCAAGAGUAACAAGCAAAGAACUCUCACUUGAUCCAAACAAGGCACUAGAUAGUGGUGGAUGCACACUUGACUCUUGGAAUUCAACUAGAGAAGGAUUCUCACAAGAAAUCACUCAAAUCUCAAUCCUCUUUAGGCUCUUGCUUCUGUCUUGCUCCACAACAAGUUUCUCUAAUGUUAAAAUGGGCAAGAGAGCUCUCAUGGACAAUGUGGAGGAGUAUAAAUACACCCCACGAAGUCCAAAGGUCAACCAACCGUUUUCCACUGAAAACGGGGUCACCAGACGCUGUUGAUGUUGCACCGGACGCUCUGCACCGAGCGUCCGGUGACAUCCAACGGCUAAUUGUACCUGCAUCUGACUGGUCACUGGACGCUACUUCCCAGCGUCCGGUGAAACCAUAUGGUGCUCCGGGGAGUUUUACAAGCUCCCUGAGUUUAAGACUGGACGCUGCCCAGUGCGUCCAGUGCUAGCGUCCGGUGCUCGGGGCAGGUUUACAACCUCCCUAGGUAUGGGACCGGACGCUGCCCGGUGAGUCCGGUGCCAGCGUCUGGUGCCUAACCCUAGGCACCGAAGCUCUCCAACGGCUAAGGACCUCACCGGACGUAUUCACAGAGCGUCCGGUGCAGCGUCCGGUGCCUACUUAGGCACCCUAACUUUGUCGAAACGCGAUCGUUCCAAAACGAAGUUGGUUCCUCUCGAUCUAAGGACUAUCUGUGAGCUGCCUAGUGCUAGGUUUACCAAGUGUGUGCCACACCUAAACCUAAAGCCUUGCCUAAGUCAAGAUCAAAGCCCCUCUUAAUAGUAUGGUCAAAGGAAAACAAAGUCCUAAACUAAUCUAAGUGCCCUUCUUCACCAUAUGUCACUUAGACCUAGUCUAGUCUUGACGAUGUCCAUCCAUCCUUUGAAAACUGAAACGAUUUCCACUAUUAAGUAGGCAUGUACGUCCCUGUUCAUCGAGUACCUAUUACCAUGACCUCACUAAUGACUUUGCCUCUGCAAAACACACGUUAGUCACAGUAAUCAACAUUGUCAUUAAUCAUCGAAAUCAUCACAUAUGACACACGUCAUCUAUGAGUUCAAUUGGGUGCGUCCAAAUUGAUUUCUAAGCAUAUGGUAUGUUCCUUGAAAUCAUGCACCUAUCUUGUCACUUCAACUAUGAGUACCAUUGGGUGCGUCUAAAAUGGUUUCUUAGCCUAUGGUGCAUUAGGCGUAAACCAUGCACAUAUCUUCUACCAAAACUAACACUGUAUCUAAACGAAACGAAGCAAGAUUCCAUAUGACACACAUCAUCAUGGAGUUAUAUCAGGUGCGUCCUAAUUGAUUUCUGAGCAUAUCAUAUGUUCCAUGCAAACCGUGCAUCUAUCUUGCAUCAAGAUUAGCACUAUCUCCAAAUAGACCAAACCAAGCUUUCACUUAAGCCCCUUGACCUAGGAGUACCAUCGGGUGCGUCAAAAAUGGUUUCUUAUCCUAUGGUGCAUUAGGUGCAAACCGUGCACCAAUCUUGCACCGAAACUAACACUGUCUCUAAACGGACCGAAGUGAGAUUCCAUAUGCCACAUGUCAUCAAGGAGUUUCAUCUGGUGUGUCCAAAUUGAUUUCUGAGCAUAUGGUAUGUUCCAUGCAAAUCGUGCACCUAUCUUGCAUCAAGAUUAGCACUAUCUCUAAACAGACCGAACCGAGCCUCCACUUGAGCCUCUUCACCUAGGAGUACCAACAGGUGCUUCCAAAAUGGUUUCUUAGACUUUGGUGCAUUAGGCACAAACCAUGCACCUAUCUUGCACCGAAACUAAUACUAUCUCCAAACAGACCGAAGCAAGAUUUCAUAUGACACACUGAAAGGUCCAAAUGGCUAGAGGGGGGUGAAUAGCCUAUUUAAAUUUUCUACAAACUUCAAUUAGACAAGUUGAUUAGUAAAACAAAUGGUGAAGCAAUUCUAGCACUAGCGCAACUAAGCUAUGCAAGCCACCUAUACAAACUAGUACAAGGCUAAACACUAAAGCACAACAACAAGAGAAGGCUAGUUACACUCCUAAACAAGAAGACUAAACUAAACAAGCUACAACUAGCAAGGUAUACAAAUAAGUAAAGGAGUGGAGAGUCAUUGUUAUACCAAUGUUGUAGAGUAGAGAUAUAUUCAAUCAAUCACUCACAAUCGCAAGAGAAUCCUCGGCAAGAGAUGACACAAGAUUUUUACUGAGGUUUGCUUGCUUCCCGGCAAGCUACUCCUCGUUGUGGCGAUACACCCACUUGAUGGAUCACGAGCCAAUUGGCAAUCCAAAGCUAAACCCUCAGCAGGUGCCGCACAUCCACUCACAAGAUGGGGACCCUCCAAGCCACGAGCAAUCCACUAGAGUAGCCAAUUGCGAUCUCCCAUGGGGAAGGCUCAAGAACCCCUCACAAAUCACUUGGUGAGGCUCGAAACAAUGUCCAAUCACGAGCCCAACACCACCACUGCUCCAAGCCGUCUAGGGCGUCGGGAAACACCCAAGAGUAACAAGAAAUCCAUAGCAAACUCAAGAAUCAAGUGCCACUAAAUGCAACUCUCAAAGAAAUGCACUUGAAUCUCACUCAAUCUCAAUAGAAUUAGCAAUCAAGCAAGGAGAUGAGUGGAGAGAGUGUUCUCUAGCUCAAGGUAUGUCUCAAGUAAUCAAAUGUGCAAGAGUGAACCCCCAAAAGCUGGCCACCAACUAUUUAUAAGCACCCACAAAAAACUAGCCGUUGGCUAUUUUCAAUGUGCUGCAGUCGGGCACACCGGACGCGUCCGGUAUGAACCUGGACAGCGUCCGGUGCCCUUGACCGUACGAAAACUAGCCGUUGCUGUUGAACGAGACACGUCAUCGGACCCUUGACUUGGAACGGACCGGACGGUCUUGAGAGGGUCUGGACCAAAACUCAGAGAGGUUCGCAGAAUCGCCACAGCACCGGACGUGUCCGAUGUCACACCGGACGUGUCCGGUGUGCAACGGACCUGAACUCAGAGAGCUCUUCCAGAUGAGUUUGCACCGAACGCAAACUCAGAGAGCUUCUCUGAGAAAGUGUCCUCUCCGGACAAAACACACCGGACUCUAGGUGAAAACUGUUUCCGAGUCCGGAGCCUCAACUCGGACACGUCCGACCUCAUACCGGACGCGUCUGGCCUGUACGUGCUACAUGAUACGAUCUCCAACUUCUUCCCUUGCUUCCAUGUGCCAACAACAAAGUGUCACAACACUUGUGCAAGUGUGUUAGCAUUUUCAAAAAUAUUUUUAUCAAGGAUUCAAGUUAGCACUUUACUAGAUCCUAAUGCAUAUGCUCAAGAUAUGGACCUAGUAGCACUUGAUUCGAGAGAUGAUCGUGAUUUCCCCUCUUGAUAGUCGGCUAUCUAUCCUAAACCCGGUUAAUCACUUCUCUACUCAUCUUAGACCGGCAAAAGUAAAACCCUAUGAUUAUACCUUUGCCUUGAUAACUUUGCUCCUCGUCUAUCAUCAUGAUCUUCACUUCAUGCUUCAUCCCUUUGUGAUCAUGUGGCCACCUUUCCAUGCCACCAUGCACCUUCAUCACAUGUGUUGCUAUGCCUAACUCAAAACACUUAAACACAAGGCAUUAGCAACUUGGUGUCAUUAAUUACCAAAACCAAACUUGGGCUUUCAAUCUCCCCCUUUUUGGUAAUUGAUGACAACCUUCACAAAGAUAUGAAAUGAAAUCAUAAUGAACUUGAAUUGCUUGUCCAAUGCAUUUUAAUCAUGAGACAAGGUUUGGACAAACAUUUCAUUUUUGGUUUUGGUAGUACUAGCUCUCCCUACAUAUGUGCUUCCAUGAGUUUGGUUCAAGUUUGCACAUAUGCAUGAAUUGGAAUUGUGGGAGAUUUAUUACUACCAAAAUGAUGCUAAGGUAUAUAGAAUGGACCUUUGAAGCGUGAUACCAAUCGGAGUUGCCAAUAUACCAUCCUUAGCACCAAAGUAGCUAGACAUACAUCAAAAACUCAAGAUACCUCGUGAGAUCACAUUAUAUGUCUAGAUACCACAUGAGAAUAAAACUCUAUGCUAGAAUUCAAAGCAUCAUUCAAGUUAUAUUUCUAGCAAGCACCAACCAAACAAGAAUAGUGAAUUUAAACUUGCAAUGCAACACCUCAUUAUGUUAAUGCACAUUCAAAUGCAACAAAUGGUUCAUGAGCUAGCUCCCCCUAUUUGUGUGCUCAAGUUUAAAAGGUUUUCUCUUCUUUUCUCUCCUUAUCUUUGUUUCUCUUCUUUCUCUCCCCCUUGUUGACUUUAUCUUUGUUUCUCUCCCCCUUUUUCAUCAAUGACCACAAAGGUUCAAAUUUUACUGAGAAUUAAGUCAAUCAAUGUGAGGGUAAAAUUAUGGUUUAAUCUAGAUCACUUGCCUAAAACAUGUAAUUCGGUUUGAUCCAAGGACAAGCUUUUUCACACCUCAUGAAGUAUAAGGGUUAUCUUGACCAUGUUGAAUUACACAUCAUAAGCUCAUAUUCUAGAUUCAACACUAGGCUUGCAAGCUCACCAACAUGUCAUAUGCUACCACUAGAUCAACCAAACAUAGAAGCAAUAGUGGUACCAUACAUACAUCAAAGUCUUUUGAUUUUCAUGAAUGAGCCUUGUCAUGCAAACAUGUCUACAUGUUCUAAUCAUGUCCUUAGCAAAGUAUGAAUGCUAUGUCAACCAACUUUACCUUGCUUUGUUGGAGGAGGGGCAUGUCAUAUAUAAAUGUAGGGGUGCAAUCAUCUCAAGUUGGAGAAGUCAAGUAUGUUCAACUCAUUCCUCAACUUGCAAAAUCUCUUCUCAUCAAGUGGCUUUGUGAAGAUGUCGACUAGUUGAUCUUCGGUGCCAAUGCUUUCAAUGCUAAUAUCACCCUUUUGUUGAUGAUCUCUUAUGAAAUGGUGCCUUAUGUCAAUGUGCUUGGUUCUUGAAUGUUGAACUGGAUUUUGUGUCAUCUUGAUUGCACUUUCAUUGUCACAUAGCAAAGGCACAUUCUUGAAUUUGAUUCCAAAGUCAUUCAAGGUAGCUUUCAUCCAAAGCAAUUGUGCAUAACAACUACCGGCACUAAUGUAUUCGGCCUCGGCGGUUGAUAGUGCAACACUAUUUUGUUUCUUUGAUGACCAUGAAACUAGAGAUCUUCCUAGCAAUUGACAAGUGCCACUUGUGCUCAUUCUAUCAAUCUUGCAUCCACCAUAGUCAGAGUCCGAAUAUCCAAUUAAUUCAAAGUUAGACCCCUUGGGAUACCAUAAUCCAACAUCAUGAGUGCCCUUGAGAUAUCUCAAUAUUCUUUUGGUUGCCUUCAAGUGACUCUCUCUAGGUGAAGCUUGGUAUCUUGCACAUUUGCACACACUAAACAUUACAUCCGGCCUUGAUGCGGUGACAUAGAGCAAACUUCUAAUCAUGGACCGGUAUAGCUUUUGAUCUACCAUGUUGCCACUUGCAUCACUACCUAAUUGAUCAUUUGUGCCCAUAGGUGUGCUCAUUGGUUUUGCUUCUUGCAACCCAAACUUCUUGAUCAUGUCCUUGAUGUACUUUCCUUGACUUACAAAAGAGCCAUUCUUCAUUUGCUUGAUUUGAAGACAAAGGAAGUAACUAAGCUCUCCAAUCAUGGACAUCUCAAACUCAUUUGCCAUCAUUCUUCCAAACUCUUCACAAAAGUCUUGAUUGGUUGAUCCAAAGAUGAUAUCAUCAACAUAUAUUUGCAACACAAACAAGUCCUUGCCUAGCUUCUUGGUGAAGAGGGUAGUGUCAACCUUUCCCAUCUUGAACCCUUUAGAGAGAAAGAAAUCUCUCAAUCUCUCAUACCAUGCUCUAGGUGCUUGCUUUAAACCAUACAAUGCCUUCUUGAGCUUGUAAACAUGGUUGGGUUUCUUGCCAUCUUCAAAACUGGGAGGUUGUUCAACAUAAACCAACUCAUUGAUGUAUCCAUUGAGAAAUGCACUCAUCACAUCCAUUUGAUAGAGUUCGAUGUUGUGGGCACAAGCAUAGGCUAAUAAUAUUCUAAUUGCCUCCAAUCUUGCAACCGGUGCAUAUGUUUCUCCAAAGUCAAGACCUUCAACUUGAUUGUAGCCUUGUGCUACUAAUCUUGCUUUGUUUCUCACAACUACACCAUCUUGAUCUUGCUUGUUUCUAAAGACCCACUUGGUUCCAAUGACAUUGUAGUUCUUUGGCCUCUCAACGAGCUCCCACAUUUGAUUUCUUGUGAAGUUGUUCAAUUCUUCAUGCAUGGCAUUUACCCAAUCGGAAUCCUUCAAUGCAUCUUCUAUUCUCUUUGGUUCUUCAAAAGGGACAAAUGAAUAGUGCUCACAAAAGGAUGCUAGCCUUGAUCUUGUUUGCACACCACUUUUAAUACCACCAAUGACUUGAUCCAAUGGAUGAUCCCUUGCUAUGCUUGUAGGUUGGAGAAUUGGGAAUUGAUUGCUUCCACUUGCUUGAGUUUGGUUUUGAUCAUCAUCAUGAGAGCCAGUAGUACUAGCUUGAUUUGUAUCGAUUUGCACUUCUUGAUUGAUCAUGUGAAUGUCACCAUCAUCAUCAACUUGCCUUGGCCUUAUGUCACCAACAUCCAUGUUCUUCAUUGCAUUUGCCAAUUUAUCUCCUCUCACAUCAUCAAGAUUUUGAGCUUCACUUUGAGGAUCAUCAAUUUAUCUCCUCGGUUUCAUCAAACUCAACAUCAUGAACUUCUUCCAAUGUGCCACUUGUCAAGUUCCAAACUCUAUAUGCUUUGCUUGUGGUGGAAUAACCAAGUAUGAACCCUUCAUCACAUUUCUUCUCAAAUUUGCUCAAUCUAGUGCCUUUCUUGAGAAUGUAGCAUUUGCAACCAAACACUCUAAAGUAUGCAAUGUUGGGCUUUCUUCCAUUCAAUAGCUCAUACGGUGUCUUCCCAAGCUUCCCAUGGCAAUAGAGACGGUUGCUACAAUAGCAAGCCGUGUUGAUAGCUUCACUCCAAAAUGAAUGGCUAACAUUGUAUUCACUAAGCAUUGAUCUAGACAUAUCAAUCAAGGUUGUAUUCUUCCUUUCAACUACACCAUUGGAUUGAGGAGUGUAUGUUGGAGAGAAUUGAUGUCCAAUGCCAAGAUCAUCACACAAUUCCUCAUUUCUUGUGUUCUUGAAUUCACUACCAUUGUCACUUCUAAUCUUCUUGAUAGUAGUUUCAAACUCAUUUUGCACCCUCUUGACAAAAGACUUGAAUAGAUCACAAACAUCACUCUUGUCAUAGAGAAAGAACACCCAAGUAUAUCUAGUGUAGUCAUCAACUAUCACAAAUCCAUACUUGUUGCCACCAAUGCUAGUGUAUGUUGUUGGCCCAAAUAAAUCCAUGUGCAACAGCUCAAAUGCCUUUGAUGUGCUCAUUUCACUUUUCUUAGGAUGUGCAUUUCCAACUUGCUUUCUGGCUUGACAAGCACUACAUGGUUUAUCCUUCUCAAAGGUGACAUCCUUCAAGCCUCUAACUAAGUCAUGCCUCAAUAGUUUGUUCAAUUGUUUCAUUCCAACAUGACCAAGCCUUUUAUGCCACAACCAACCCAAACUUGAUUUCCUAAUUAGGCAAGAUGUCAAUUGAGUGUCACUAUCAUUGAAAUCAACCAAGUAUAAGCUACCAUGCCUAAAUCCUAUGAAUAUCAAGUUUGAUCCAUCAACACUAACCACCUCAACAUCAUCACUUCCAAAGAUGCACUUGAAGCCAAGGUCACAAAGUUGUGCAAUUCACAAAAGAUUGAAAUCAAGGCUCUCAACUAGCAACACAUUUGAUAUGCUCAUGUCAUUUGAGAUAGCAAUUUUACCAAGCCCCUUGACCUUGCCUUUCUUGUUGUUGCCGAAGGUGAUUGAAUCAAAGCCACCAUUUUCAUUUGUAUUAAUUGACUUGAACAUACAAGACUCCCCAGUCAUAUGUUGAGUGCACCCACUAUCAAGCACCCAAUGCCUUCCUCUAGCUUUGUAAUUGACCUACAAGAAAAGAUCAAUUCUUUUUAGGUACCCAAACUUGAUUGGUUCCUCCAAGGUUAGCAACUAAGCUCUUUGGUACCCAAAUAGCUUUCUUCUUUGAGCCCAUCCAUGGUGCACCAAUGAACUUAGCAUGAACACCUUUUGUAUCCUUGAUAAGCACAUAAAAACAAUUGAGCUUAAUUGAGGAUACAUGAGCCUUGGGUUUCUUGUUCAUGCAUUGUUGCUCUAGGUGACCAACUUGCUUGCAAGCUUUGCAAUACCGGCCAUUGUUCUUCACAAAACUAGUCUUGUGAGGAGCAAAGGCGGCCUUGCCUCUCUUUGGGUUAUAGCCUAACCCCUCUUUAUAGAGAGAAGCUCUUUGGCUACCCAAGCACAUAAGCAAGCGGUCCUCACCACCAUAAGCCUUGGCUAAGGUGUGAUUGAGCUCUUUCACCUCCUUCUUGAGAAUUUCAUUCUCAACUUUAAGUGUGGUCUCACAUGUGAAACCAUCACCACUAGAUGAGGAUGAUGUAGAUGUGCUACAUGAAGGGUUAGUAGAAGCAACAACAAUAGGCUUGCUUAAAAAAUCACAUGUUAGGCCUAUGUUGCAAGUUUGAGCUUUUUCAAUUUUAGUUGGCUCAUUUUUACACUUGUUAACUAGAGAGGAAUGAGCUUCUUCAAGCUUAGUGUGAGCCUUUUGAAGCUUCUUAUGGUCUUCCUUUAGACUCUCAUAAGAUGCCCUAAGCUCAUCAAGUUCUUGCUCAAGGGUUUUCUUAUCCUUAAGCAAGGCCUUGCACUCCUUCCUUGUUUCUUUAUAGUGAUGAGUGCAAUCUUCUAGCAUAGUGAUUAGUUCAUCUUUAGUUGGUUCAUCAUCAUCACUAUCACUAGCAUGGUCACUCUCAUCAUCGGAUGAUACCUUAGUGGCCUUAGCCUUGAAGCAUGAUGGAGUGUCGAAGAUGGAGAUCUUUCCUUAGAUUGCAAUGCUAGCGUGCGCCUUCUUCUUGGUGCUUUCAUCAUCACUUGAGGAGUCAUCACUAUCCCAAGUUGCAACAAGGGCAUCACCCUUCUUCUGCUUGUUUGAGCCUUCCUUCUUUUCUUCCUUCUUCUUUUGCUUCUUUCUUUCCUUUUUGAUAGCAUCUUCAUCAUCACUAUCAUAAGGACACUUGGCGAUGAGAUGAUCCUUGCUAUGGCAUCUAAAGCACCUCAUGGAAUAAUCAUUCUUCUUGGAAGAGCUCUUCUUUCUUCUUGCCCGUUAGCCCUUAUUCUUCAUAAACUUGCUAAAUCUUUUGACAAGAAGAGCCAUCUCCUCAUCUUCAUCACAAUCACAAGAGCUUGCUUCUUCUUCACUUGAUGACUCUAUCUUGGCUUUGCCCUUAGACGAGGAGGCCUUGAAUGCCACACUUUUCUUCUUCUCAUCAUCUUUCUUCUCACCAUCCUUCUUCUUCUUCUUGAUCAACUCAUCCUUCUCAUCAUCUUCCCUAUAAGCAUCAUCAGUCAUCACCUCUUGGAAGACUUGUUGGGGAGUUGAAUCACUAAGUGUUGUCUUGACUAGCACAGUGAUCAAUGUGUCAAAUCUCUUGGGCAAGCUUCUCAAGAACUUCAUAGAGAAUUGACUAUCUUUUACUUCUUCCCCAAGUGCCUUGAGUUCAUUCAUAAUGACUUGCAACCGAUGAAACAUCUCCGGCACACAUUCAUCUUCUUGCAUCUUGAAGCUUGAGAACUUUUCUUGGAGGAUGUAUGCCUUGGCGGUCUUGGUUCCCUUGGUGCCCUCAAAUGUUUCUUCUAAUUUUGCCCAUGCAUCAUGAGCAAUCACAAUGUUCUUGAUUUGCUCAAAGGUCUUGUCAUCAAGAGCUUCAUGAAGAGCACUAAUUGCAAUGUCAUUGCAUUGAAGCUUCUUCUCUUCAACCGGUGUUGGUGCAUUCUCAUUUGCAACCUCAAACUUUGUUUCGGUCACCUUCCAAACCUCUCUAUUGUUUGACUUAAGAUGAGCGGUCAUCUUGACCUUCCAAUACGCAUAAUUGGUGCCAUCAAAGAAAGGUGCCUUCUUGGUGUUGUUGAUAUGCAAAUUAAGAGCCAUUUCUUCACCGUAGGUUGUUAAGCCUCAAAUAAACGGUGCCUCGGCUCUGAUACCACUUGAAAGGUCCAAAUGGCUAGAGGGGGGGUGAAUAGCCUAUUUAAAUUUUCUACAAACUUCAACUAGACAAGUUGAUUAGUAAAACAAAUGGCGAAGCAAUUCUAGCACUACCUCAACUAAGCUAUGCAAGCCACCUAUACAAACUAGUACAAGGCUAAACACUAAAGCACAACAACAAGAGAAGGCUAGUUACACUCCUAAACAAGAAGACUAAACUAAACAAGCUACAACUAGCAAGGUAUACAAAUAAGUAAAGGAGUCGAGAGUGAUUGUUAUACCAAUGUUGUAGAGUAGAGAUAUAUCCAAUCAAUCACUCACAAUCACAAGAGAAUCAUCGGCAAGAGAUGACACAAGAUUUUUACUGAGGUUCGCUUGAUUCCCGGCAAGCUACUCCUCGUUGUGGCGAUACACCCACUUGAUGGAUCACAAGCCAAUUGGCAAUCCAAAGCCAAACCCUCAGCGGGUGCCGCACAUCCACUCACAAGAUGGGGAUCCUCCAAGCCACGAGCAAUCCACUAGAGUAGCCAAUUGCGAUCUCCCGCGGGGAAGGCUCAAGAACCCCUCACAAAUCACUUGGUGAGGCUCGAAACAAUAUCCAAUCACUAGCCCAACACCACCGCUGCUCCAAGCCAUCUAGGGCAUCGGGAAACACCCAAGGGUAAUAAGAAAUCCACAGCAAACUCAAGAAUCAAGUGCCACUAAAUGCAACUCUCAAAGCAAUGCACUUGAAUCUCACUCAAUCUCAAUAGAAUUAGCAUUCAAGCAAGGAGAUGAGUGGAGAGAGUGUUCUCUAGCUCAAGGUAUGUCUCAAGUAAUCAAAUGUGCAAGAGUGAACCCCCAAAAGCUGGCCACCAACUAUUUAUAAGCACCCACAAAAAACUAGCCAUUGGCUGUUUUCAAUGUGCUGCAGUCGGGCACACCGGACGUGUCCUAGUUCACACCGGACGCGUCCGGUAUGAACCUGGACAGCGUCCGGUGCCCUUGACCGUACGAAAACUAGCCAUUGCUGUUGAACGAGACACGACACCGGACUCUUCACUUGGAACGGACCGGACGGUCCUGAGAGGGUCCGGACGAAAACUCAGAGAGGUUCGCAGAAUCGCCACAGCACCGGACGUGUCCGUUGUCACACCGGACGCGUCCGGUGUGUACCAGACAUGAACUGAGAGAGCUCUUCCAGAUGAGUUACACUGGACAAAAACUCAAAGAGCUUCUCCGAGAAAGCGUCCUCUCCGGACAAAACACACCGGACUCAAGGUGAAAACUGUUUCCGAGUCCGGUGCCUCAACUCGGACACGUCCGACCUCAUACCGGACGCGUUUGGCCUGUACGCGCUACACGAAACGAUCUCCAACUUCUUCCCUUGCUUCCAUGUGCCAACAACAAAGUGUCACAACACUUGUGCAAGUGUGUUAGCAUUUUCACAAAUAUUUUUAUCAAGGAUUCAAGUUAGCACUUUACUAGAUCCUAAUGCAUAUGCUCAAGAUAUGGACCUAGUAGCACUUGAUUCGAGAGAUGACCGUGAUUUCCCCUCUUGAUAGUCGGCUAUCUAGCCUAAACAGGGUCAAUCACUUCUCUACUCAUCUUAGACCGGCAAAAGUAAAAACCUAUGAUUAUACCUUUGCCUUGAUAACUUUGCUCCUCGUCUAUCAUCAUGAUCUUCACUUCAUGCUUCAUCCCAUUGUGAUCAUGUGGCCACCUUUCCAUGCCACCAUGCACCUUCAUCACAUGUGUUGCUAUGCCUAACUCAAAACACUUAAACACAAGGCAUUAGCAACUUGGUGUCAUUAAUUACAAAAACCAAACUUGGGCUUUCACACACAUCAUCAAGGAGUUAUAUCAGGUGCGUCCUAAUUGAUUUCUGAGCAUAUCGUACGUUCCAUGCAAACCAUGCUAAUUGCAUCAAGAUUAGUACUGUCUCCAAACAGACCAAACCGAGCUUUCACUUGAGCACCUUGACCUAGGAGUACCAUCGGGUGCGUCCAAAAUGGUUUCUUAUCCUAUGGUGCAUUAGGUGCAAACUAUGCACCUAUCUUGUACCGAAACAAACACUGUCUCUAAACGAACUGAAGUGAGAUUCCAUAUGACACAUGUCGUCUAUGAUUUCCACAUGGUGCCUCCAAAUUGAUUUCUGAGCAUAUGGUAUGUUCCAUGCAAAUCGUGCACCUAUCUUGCAUCAAGAUUAACACUAUCUCUAAACAGACCGAACCGAGCCUCCACUUGAGCCUAUUCACCAAGAGUACCAAAUAGUGCGUCCAAAAUAAUUUCUUAGACUAUGGUGCAUUAGGCGCAAAUUGUGCACCUAUCUUGCACUGAAACUUACAAUGUCUACAAACAGACCGAAGCAAGAUUCCAUAUGACACACGUCAUCUAGAAGUUCCAUUGGGUGCGUCCAAAUUGAUUUCUAAGUAUAUGGUAUGUUCUUUGCAAAUCAUGCACCUAUCUUGCAUCAAGAUUAGCACUAUCUCCAAACAGAUCAAACCGAGCUUCUACUUGAGCCUCUUCACUGAAGUACCAACAGGUGCUUUCAAAAUGGUUUCUUAGACUAUGGUGCAUUAGGCGCAAACUAUGCACAUAUGUUGCACCGAAACUAACAUUGUUUCUAAACAGACCAAAGUGAGAUUCUAUAUGACACACGUCAUCAAGGAGUUCCAUCGGGUGCAUCAAAAUUGAUUUCCAAGCAUAUGGUAUGUUCCAUGCAAACCGUGCACCUAUCUUGCAUCAAGAUUAGCACUAUCUCCAAACAGACCGAACCGAGCUUCCACUUGAGCCUCUUCAUCUAAGAGUACAAACAGGUGCAUCAAAAAUUGUUUCUUUGGCUAUGGUGCAUUAGGCACAAACUAUGCACCUAUCUUGCACCAAAACUUACAUUGUCUCCAAAGAGACCGAAGCAAGAUUCCAUAUAACACACAUCAUCUAGGAGUUCCAUUGGGUGCAUCCAAAUUGAUUUCAUAACAUAUGGUACGUUCCAUGCAAAUUGUGCAACUAUCUUGCAUCAAGAUUAGCACUAUAUACGAACAGAUCAAAUCGAGCCUCCACUUGAUCCUCUUCAAAUACGAGUACCAUCGAGUGCGUCUAAAAUGGUUUCUUAGCCUAUGGUGCAUUAGGCGUAAACCGUGGACAUAUCUUCUACUAAAACUAACACUGUCUCAGAACGAACCGAAGCAAGAUUCCAUAUGACAAACAUCAUCAAGGAGUUAUAUCAUGUGCGUCCUAAUUGAUUUCUGAGCAUAUCGUAUGUUCCAUGCAAACUGUGCAUCUAUCUUGCAUCAACAUUAGCACUAUCUCCAAACAGACCAAACCGAGCUUUCACUUGAGCCCCUUGACCUAGGAAUACCAUCGGGUGCGUCCAAAAUGGUUUCUUAUCCUAUGGUGCAUUGCAACAAAACUAACACUGUCUCUAAACAAACUGAAGUGAGAUUCCAUAUGACAAAUGUCAUCUAGGAGUUCCAUCUGGUGCAUCCAAAUUGAUUUCUGAGCAUAUGGUAUGUUCCAUGCAAAUCGUGCACCUAUCUUGCAUCAAGAUUAGCACUAUCUCUAAACAGACCGAACCGAGCCUUCACUUGAGCCUUUUACCUAGGAGUACCAUCGGGUGCGUCCAAAAUGGUUUCUUAGCCUAUGCUACAUUAUGUGCAAACCUUGCACCUAUCUUGCACCGAAACGAACACUGUCUCCAAACAGACCGAAGCAAGAUUUCGUAUGACACACGUCAUCUAGGAGUUCCAUCAUGUGCGUCGAUAUUGAUUUCCAAGCAUUUGGUAUGUUCCAUGCAAAUCGUGGACCUAUCUUGCAUCAAGAUUAGCGCUAUCUCCAAACAGACCGAACCGAGCAUCCACUUGAGCCCCUUCACCUAGGCGUACACGCCAUCAAGGAGUUCCAUCGGGUGCAUCCAAAUUAAUUUCCAAGCAUGUGGUAUGUUCCAUGCAAACUAUUCACUUACCUUGUAUAAGGAUUAGCACUAUGUCCAAACUGAUCGAACCAAGCUUCCACUUGAACCUCUUCACCCAGGAGUACCAAAUAGUGCGUCCAAAAUGGUUUCUUAGACUAUGGUGCAUUAGGUGCAAACUGUGCACCUAUCUUGCACUAAAACUUACAAUGUCUACAAACGAACCGAAGCAAGAUUCCAUAUGACACACGUCAUCUAGGAGUUCCAUCUCGAGCGUCCAAAUUGAUUUGUGAGCAUUUGGUUUGUUCCAUGCAAAUUGUUCACCUAUCUUGCAUCAAGAUUAGCACUAUCUCUAAACAGACAAAACCGAGCAUCUACUUGAGCCCCUUCACCUAGGUGUACCAACAAGUGCGUCGAAAAUGGUUUCUUAGACUAUGGUGCAUUAGGUGCAAACUGUGCACCUAUCUUGCACCGAAACUAACAAUGUCUCCAAAUGGACCGAAGCGAGACUCCAUAUGACACACGUCAUCAAGGAGUUCCAUCGGGUGCAUCCAAAUUAAUUUCCAAGCAUGUGUAUGUUCCAUGCAAACCAUGCACCUACCUUGCAUAAGGAUUUGCACUACGUCCAAACUGACCGAACCAAGCUUCCACUUGAGCCUCUUCAGCCAGGAGUACCAAAUAGUGCGUCCAAAAUGAUUUCUUAGACUAUGGUGCAUUAGGCGCAAACUGUGCACCUAUCUUGCACUAAAACUUACAAUGUCUACAAACGGACCGAAGCAAGAUUCCAUAUGACACACAUAAUCUAGGAGUUCCAUUGGGUGCGUACAAAUUGAUUUCUAAGCAUAUGGUAUGUUCCUUGCAAAUCAUGGACCAAUCUUGCAUCAAGAUUAGUACUAUCUCCAAAUAGAUCAAACCGAGCUUCCACUUGAGCUCUUCACCGAAGUACCAAUAGGUGCUUCCAAAAUGGUUUCUUAGACUAUGGUGCAUUAGGCGCAAACCAUGCACAUAUCUUGCACUGAAACUAACACUGUUUCUAAACAGACCAAAGUGAGAUUCCAUAUGGCACACGUCAUCAAGGAGUUCCAUCGGGUGCAUCCAAAUUGAUUUCUAAGCAUAUGCUAUGUUCCAUGCAAACAGUGCACCUAUUUUGCAUCAAGAUUAGCACUAUCUCCAAACAAACCGAACCAAGCUUCCACUUGAGCCUCUUAAUCUAGGAGUACAAACAGGUGCAUCAAAAAUGGUUUCUUAGACUAUGGUGCAUUAGGCACAAACUAUGCACCUAUCUUGCACUGAAACUAUCAUUGUCUCGAAACAGACCGAAGCGAGAUUCCAUAUGACACACGUCAUCUAGGAGUUCCAUUGGGUGCGUCCAAAUUGAUUACUUAACAUAUGGUACGUUCCACGCAAACUGUGCAACUAUCUUGUGUCAAGAUUAGCACUAUAUCCGAACAGACCAAAUCGAGCCUCUAUUUGAGCCUCUUGAACUACUAGUACCAUCGGGUGCGGUGCAUUAGGCGUAAACCGUGCACAUAUCUUCUACCAAAACUAACACUAUCUCUAAACAAACCGAAGCAAGAUUCCAUAUGACACACAUCAUCAAGGAGUUAUAUUAGGUGCGUCCUAAUUGAUUUCUGAGCAUAUCGUAUGUUCCAUGCAAACCGUGCAUCUAUCUUGCAUCAAGAUUAGCACUAUCUCCAAGCAGACCAAACCGAGCUUUCACUUGAGCCCCUUGACCUAGGAGUACCAUCGGGUGCGUCCAAAAUGGUUUCUUAUCCUAUGGUGCAUUAGGUGCAAACUAACACUGUCUCUAAACGGACCGAAGUGAGAUUCCAUAUGACACAUGUCAUCUAGGAGUUCCAUCUGGUGCGUCCAACUUGAUUUUUGAGCAUAUGGUAUUCUAUGCCAAUUGUGCACCUAUCUUGCAUCAAAAUUAGCACUAUCUCUAAACAGAUCGAACCAAGCCUCCACUUGAGCCUCUUCACCUAGGAGUACCAACAGGUGCUUCUAAAAUGGUUUCUUAGACUUAGGUGCAUUAGGCGCAAACCGUGCACAUAUCUUGCACCAAAACUAACACUGUCUCUAAGCACACCAAAGCGAGAUUCCAUAUGACACACGUCAUGAAGGAGUUCUAUCGGGUGUGUUCAAAUUAAUUUCUAAGCAUAUGGUACGGUCCAUGCAGACCGUGCAUCUAUCUUGCAUCAAGAUUAGCACUGUCUCCAAAUAGACCAAACUGAGCUUUCACUUGAGCCUUUUACCUAGGAGUACCAUCGGGUGCGUCCAAAAUGGUUUCUUAGCCUAUGCUGCAUUAUGUGCAAACCAUGCACCUAUCCUGCACCGAAACUAACACUGUCUCCAAACAGACCGAAGCAAGAUUUUGUAUGACACACGUCAUCUAGGAGUUCUUUCGGUUGUGUCCAAAUUAAUUUCUAAGCAUAUGGUACGUUCCAUGCAGACCGUGCAACUAUCUUGCAUCAAGAUUUACACUAUCUCCAAAUAGACCAAAUCGAGCUUUCACUUGAGCCUUUUACCUAGGAGUACCAUCGGGUGCGUUCAAAAUGGUUUCUUAGCCUAUGCUGCAUUAUGUGCAAACCUUGCACCAAUUAUGCACCGAAACUAACAUUGUCUCCAAACAGACCAAAGCAAGAUUUCGUAUGACACACGUCAUCUAGGAGUUCCAUCAUGUGCGUCUAGAUUGAUUUCCAAGCAUUUGGUAUGGUCCAUGCAAACCGUGCACCUAUCUUGCAUCAAGAUUAGCACUAUCUCCAAAUAGACCGAACCGAGCAUCCACUUGAGCCCCUUCACCUAAGAGUACCAACAAGUGCGUCCAAAAUGGUUUCUUAGACAAUGGUGCACAAACUGUGCACCUAUCUUGCACCGAAACUAACAAUGUCUCCAAAUGGAUUUCCAUCGGGUGCAUCCAAAUUGAUUUCCAAGCAUAUGGUAUGUUCAAUGCAAACCCUGCACCUACCUUCCAAAAGGAUUAGCACUAUCUCCAAACUAACCGAAUCAAGCUUCCACUUGAGCCUCUUCAUCCAGGAGUACAAAAUAGUGCGUCCAAAAUGGUUUCUUAGACUACGGUGCAUUAGGCGCAAACUGUGCACCUAUCUUGCACUAAAACUUACAAUGUCUACAAACGGACCGAAGCAAGAUUCCAUAUAACACACGUCAUCUAGGAGUUCCAUUGGGUGCGUCCAAAUUGAUUUCGAAGCAUAUGGUAUGUUCCUUGCAAAUCAUCCACCUAUCUUGCAUCAAGAUUAGCACAGAUCAAACCGAGCUUCCACUUGAGCCUCUUCACCGAAGUACCAACAGGUGCUUCCAACAUGGUUUCUUAGACUAUGGUGCAUUCGGUGCAAACCAUGCAUAUAUCUUGCACUAAAACUAACACUAUUUCUAAAUAGACUAAAGCGAGAUUCCAUAUGACACACGUCAUCAAGGAGUUCCAUCGGGUGCAUCCAAAUUGAUUUCCAAGCAUAUGGUAUGUUCCAUGCAAACCAUGCACCUAUUUUGCAUCAAGAUUAGCACUAUCUCCAAACAGACCGAACCGAGCUUCCAAUUGAACCUCUUCAUCUAGGAGUACAAAUAGGUCCGUCAAAAAUGGUUUUUUAGACUAUGGUGCAUUAGGCACAAACUAUGCACCUAUCUUGCACCAAAACUAACAUUGUCUUCAAACAGACCAAAGUGAGAUUCCAUAUGACACACGUCAUCUAGGAGUUCUAUUGGGCGCAUCCAAAUUGAUUUCUAAACAUAUGGUCUGUUCCAUGCAAACUGUGCAACUAUCUUGCAUCAAGAUUAGCACUAUAUCUGAGCAGACCAAAUCGAGCCUCCACUUGAGCCUCUUCAACUACGAGUACCAUCGGGUGCGUCUAAAAUGGUUUCUUAGCCUAUGGUGCAUUAGGUGUAAACCGUGCACAUAUCUUCUACCAAAACUAACACUAUCUCUAAACAAACCAAAGCAAUAUUCCAAAUGACACACAUCCUCAAGGCGUUAUAUCAGGUGCGUCCUAAUUGAUUUCUAACAUAUCGUAUGUUCCAUGCAAACCAUGCAUCUAUCUUGCAUCAAGAUUAGCACUAUCUCCAAACAGACCAAACCGAGCUUUCACUUGAGCCCCUUGACCUAGGAGUACCAUCGGGUGUGUCCAAAAUGGUUUCUUAGAAAAUUGUGCAUUAGGCGCAAACUGUGCACCUAUCUUGCACUAAAACUUACAAUGUCUACAAACGGACCGAAGCAAGAUUCCAUAUAACACACGUCAUCUAGGAGUUCCAUUGGGUGCGUCCAAAUUGAUUUUUGAGCAUAUGGUAUGUUCCUUGCAAAUCAUCCACCUAUCUUGCAUCAAGAUUAGCACUAUCUCCAAACAGAUCAAACCGAGCUUCCACUUGAGCCUCUUCACCGAAGUACCAACAGGUGCUUCCAACAUGGUUUCUUAGACUAUGGUGCAUUCGGCGCAAACCAUGCACAUAUCUUGCACUAAAACAAAUACUGUUUCUAAGCACACCAAAGCGAGAUUCGAUAUGACACACGUCAUCAAGGAGUUCUAUCGGGUGUGUCCAAAUUAAUUUCUAAGCAUAUGGUUCAAUGCAGACCGUGCAUCUAUCUUGCAUCAAGAUUAGCACUAUCUCCAAAUAGACCAAACUGAGCUUUCACUUGAGCCUUUUACCUAGGAGUACCAUCGGGUGCUUCCAAAAUGGUUUGUUAGCCUAUGCUGCAUUAUGUGCAAACCAUGCACCUAUCUUGCAUCAAAACUAACACUGUCUCCAAACAGACCGAAGCAAGAUUUCGUAUGACACACGUCAUCUAGGAGUUCCAUCAUGUGCGUCCAGAUUGAUUUCCAAGCAUUUGGUAUGUUCCAUGCAAACCAUGCACCUAUCUUGCAUCAAGAUUAGCACUAUCUCCAAAUAGACUGAACCGAGCAUCCACUUGAGCCCCUUCAUCCAGGAGUACCAACAAGUGUGUCCAAAAUGGUUUCUUAGACUAUGGUGCAUUAGGUGCAAACUAUGCACCUAUCUUGCAUCGAAACUAACAAUGUCUCCAAAUGGAUCGAAGCGAGAUUCCAUAUGACACACGUCAUCAAGGAGUUCCAUCGGGUGCAUCCAAAUUGAUUUCCAAGCAUAUGGUAUGUUCCAUGCAAACCAUGCACCUGCCUUGCAUAAGGAUUAGCACUAUCUCCAAACUGACCGAACCAAGCUUCCACUUGAGCCUCUUCACCCAGGAGUACCAAAUAGUGCGUCCAAAAUAGUUUCUUAGACUUUGGUGCAUUAGGCGCAAACUAUGUGCAAACUAUGCAUUAGGCGCAAACUAUGACCUAGGAGUACCAUCGGGUGCGUCCAAAAUUGUUUCUUAUCCUACGGUGCAUUAGGUGCAAAUCGUGCACCUAUCUUGCACCAAAACUAACACUGUUUCUAAAUGGACCGAAGUGAGAUUCCAUAUGACACACGACAUCUAGGAGUUCCAUCUGGUGCGUCCAAAAUAGAUAUCUGAGCAUAUGGUAUGUUCCAUGCAAAUCAAGCACCUAUCUUGCAUCAAGAUUUGCACUAUCUCCAAAUAGACCAAACCAAGCUUUCACUUGAGCCUUUUACCUAGGAGUACCAUCGGUGUCACAGAACCGACCAAACUAUAAGAGUUCAAGUGUCGAAACGAUCGACAAGCAAUCAAGUUUCCAAAACUUGAGCCCAUAUAAUCCCGGUAGUCAACUGAAAUCAUGAAGGACUUCAAACCAACUUGCAACAAACCAAGAUCGUAAUAAUUCCACACAACACAACGAAUGUUACAUAGUCAUUCAUUGCCGACGAAGCGGCACCACAUCGGAGUUAUUAAGUUAUUACAACACAUGUUCGAAGUAGCGGAAGCAAAGUAAUUACACACACUUUCCAAAGUUCCUUUCACCAGUUCUUGUUUAGCCAGGGUCUCAUGCCAUCCAUCCAAAAGCAUCAGAUACGAAGUAGUUAGAGAACCGUGCCCAAUGGUUAGUCCUCAUCCCCAGCGGGAUGGAGACAGGUCUUGCAGAAGCCAUCAUAAAAGAUAUCAUCUGCAACAGGUGGGAAUAAACCCUGAGUACGAGAUUGUACUCAGCUAGACUUACCCGUCUAGUAAAACAUAAAAGACACCAAGGAUCAUGCAAGGCUAACAUCAAGUAGAGCUGGUUGACUCAACAUUUGCCAAAAGCUUAAAUUAUAACUACAAUGUUGUGAGAGCAUCAUCUUUAAUUAUCAUCAGCCUACUACUAAAUUAGCACCUAUACUAAAGCACUUCACUAGAUUAUUACAAGCAAUAAUAACCAUAUCAAGUUCAUCAUGUGUCCUUCCUUGCUAUCAUCAUUAUCAUGAACCAAGUUCUUUAGUGAAUGCUACGUUUGCCGCUGCUCUGUCAAGUUCUCACUGACCGGGAGAGAUGAUGAUUCGAAUCGAAUUCCUAUCCAGCUGGAGGUGUAUUCCUAGCACUCACCCAAGCAUCCCCUGUCGGAGAGCCAACGGGUCACCUUUGGUACGACUCAAGAAUCGCGGUUCCGAUUAGCGCCGCACUCCCAGGGCUACCACUCUGCCAGGGAGGUCAGGAAUUUUAACUCACCUGCCUUUGGACUUACGCCAAUGGUCCCCCUCACACCGCACUUCCUCCGGUAGUGCGCACUUUAUACUUAUCGACCUUCCGGCCUGAGUCAUAUUACUUGGCUUCGCGGUCAGAACGAGUUAUCCGGCCAACUAAGUGUCAGACAUGCGUUCAACAUGACAAGAGGACGUACAACGGUCGGUCCUUAGCUGCCACAGACGGAGUCACUACAACCUUGCAAAACUCCGCCUGGCUUAAGUCAAUUUAAUCAGGUUCCACCCACGAUAGCACAUAUAGUCCAUCGUGAUCCAACAUAACCCUAUAUCGCGCAGGUGACAGGAAAUCACCCGACUUCUACCGAUUAAAGCAUGGCUAAGCUGCUACUCCAUCCUAACUCUACAACCAAGGUAUGGUAAGUUAUCUGGACAAGGAUGGUGUAAAAUGCAGCAAAGGUUUCAUCACAACUCCUAUACUUAAUGCAUCAAUAGAUAUAACAUAUUAAGUAAACUUUCGAAAGUAAAGGGAGACAUAGAAUGCUCUGGGGCUUGCCUUUCACGAACGAGGCUGGCUCGUGAUUUGGGCACUCAACUUCUUUGGGCUCCUCGAGUCCGACUUGCUGGACCUCCACCUCCUGGUUGCCCUCCUGGCCUUCGGGGUUCACUAGGAGCUCGUAGGAAGCGGUCGCGUCCGUUGCACCUAUUGCAUGCUCAAUGAAUAAGAAGAUGUGCAUACUAAAGGAUGAAUGCUUGAUACAUAAUUAAACUCACUGGACACUCAUUUACGGAGUAACGGUUAUAACAAGGUCACACAAGAUGACAAGUUAACUUAGCCAAAACCUACCAAGUUAAAUCAUAACAAGAAGCAUCACAUAACAGAGCAGCUCAGUAAACAAACCAUAACUAUUGCUACAAAGAUCCAACAAACUUAAGUGAGGACAUUCUCGAAAGCUUAUGAAAUUGUCUACAAAUCAUCUUUAAACAUCACAGUAAGAUUCAUAAAUUAAACAAGUGAUUUAAACAAAGUUCCAGGUUCUGUCCCAGAAAAACAGAGAACACCUAUUUCUGGAACCUAACUUAGAAAGAUCAUAACUUCAAAACUACUAAACCAAAUGAUCCCAAAUUUAAACCACAGCUAGUUCAUAAAGUUUACAACAACUUUGAUUUAGACAAGUUUCCCAGAAAACUCAGAUAUCAACAAGCAAAAGCUAAAUUACUAACUUGCUGUCCAGAACAGCUUUUAACCCACCAAUAAAUUAUUUAAUGAUAUAGCCAAAGCAUAAACAUUGUCAACCACAUGACUUAUCAGCACAAACACAUCAUAAGACCACCAGAACAUCACAUGUUAACCUAUAAUCAUUUACUAACAAGGCAUUUAUUAAUUUAAUUCUAUAAAGGGACAUAAUUACAAGAUACCAGUAAAAGUACUUAGAAAAAAUCUACAAAAAUUACAGAAGUACAAGCAUAGCAUCACAACACCACCAUAAAAUUUUCAAAGCAAUAGCACAUGUAAAUUUUUAGAUAAACAUUUAACAUUUGAGAAGGGGUUUAUUUCAUAAAUUCAGAAACAUGGCUUAUAUGGUGUCAAACAGCAGAUUUCAGAUUAUUUACAUGUUAUCAACACCCUAAACAAGUUUGUCACCAAAGUAGAGCUCCAGCAUAAGCAGCAAUUAUUUUAUAUGAUUUAAUUAAGGAAACAAGCCAAAUCUCAAACAUAAAUUACAUAUCACAGAUGUAGUACUCCAAAAAUCAUGAAAUAUUUAUCAUAGCUUUCUACUACCACACAGAGACUACCAUAAACAUUUCAUAGCAAAAUAAGCAGUAUAACAAGAGAUAUGAAUUUACUCAUGAAUAACAAGAUUAAAUCCUAAUAAAUAUUUUUACCAGAAAUCAUGGUUCAUUUUAUAUUUUUAUUAAAAACUAGCAAUCUCAAGGAACACCACAAAAUUGGUUUCAUAAUUUUUGGAUCUCAGAAACUGGAGAUAUGAUUUUUGCAAGAAAGCCAAAAAUCUGGAAUUUGAAAAAAAAGGAAGGAGAAUAUCGUUGAGUCACUGACAACAGGACCCGCGCGUCAGCGACCCAGGGAACAGAGGAUUCCUUCGCCGGCAAAUGCUCGCCGACGGUGAGCUUCUCCGGCGGAUCCAAGGGCACCAGCGUGCUCCUGGAGUGAUUCCGCAUCGAUGGAGGUAGGUGGCGCUAGGGUUUCAACUACGGAGAGGAGUCGCCGUCGGCCAUGGCGGCACGGCGGAGCUACCCCGGCCUACGCCGGCCAUCUCUGACCGGUAGAGCGUCAGGGAAGGGUGGCUUAAGCAUCAGUGAGUCAGCGCGGAGCUUUCUAGGUAGAAGCGACUAACCCUAACGGCUCCGGUGAGCCUGCUCACGUGCGAGGUGCUCGUCGGCGGUUAGCACGGCGGUGCGGCGGCCGUGUUCCCGCGCGACGGUGGAGCCUCAGUCGCAAUGGCGUGGCGUGGACCGACGCCAAGACCUAAGCAGACCCUAACGUGACUUAGAGGGGAAAAAGGGAGCAAGGAUGGAGCAGCGGCGAGGUUCGCCGGAAUCGGGGUCACGACGGCCGUGAACCCGACGACGCGGAGCUCGCGAAAUGUCGCUCACCUCGGGGAGAUCUCGUCCAACCGAUGGGUGGAGAAGAUGGAGGAGCUCGAGGCGGACUUGGAGGCGCUCGGAGGUGAGGCCAGACGCAGAGGCGAGGGCGUGAAGAGCUUGCGAAGCUCUCGGCGGCAAUGGCGACGGCGUUUCCGCCAGAGCGAGCGCGAGAGAGGAGAAGUAAGAGAGUGGACGGGCGCUGAGUGAGUGCGGGGCGUCGUGGCGUCCAUGCCAACGCCGACGACCUGACGAGCGGGGCCAACACCGGCGUACGGGCGCCAACUGGCGGACAGGUGUCGCGCUGGGCGUCCACGACGGCGAGCUCGGCUCUGAAUCAGGCGACGCGAUCACAGUCUGACAGAGCUACUUCGACACAGAUUAUCUCCCAAACUAGAGCGAGUUAGGAGAUGAUGUAGUUGACAAAGUUGGAGUACUAACUGAGUUCUACAAUACUGUCAACUGGAGCAAGAGCCAGAUCGGACUGGAUUGAAUGAUAUGGAGUUUCCAAAAUCGAUCGAGCAAACUGUUUGUGUUCCUGGACUUAGAAAAUUUUCCAAGUGUUGGAAACAGCCCUAAUUUUGCCUUGUGGGUCACUUUUGAGCUAGUUGUGUUCAUUUUCAUGAGAUGGCCAUAAAACAACUUUUGUUCCUUAUAAAAUUUGCUACAACUUUGCUGUAGAAAGUUUUGACAUGCAAACAUUUUAUGAAACACUUUUUAAAAGCCUAAGCAAAAGAGGUUUCUAGGGCCUAUUUGAGUAAGUAUGACUUAAGUGAGUAUUUUGGAGAAAUGAUCAACAUGAACAUUGUUCCUAAGGUUGAGUUAAACAUAAAUAAACUAAUUACCAAGGCAUAGAGCACAAGUACAAGCAUGGUUCACACAAACACAAGUCUAGGAAGCCUAUUUAGACAACUUAAAUCACAUUUUUGCAUAAAAUGACAUGGCUCAAGGUAGAUGAUGAUCAUGAUAUGCUUUGAGUAGAAGAUGAUGCUCAUGUUAUGCAUGUGAUUUAUGCAACCAUAACACUAGGGUGUUACAGCCCUCCCCCCUUACAAAAAUCUCGUCCCGAGAUUUGAAAGCUUACUAAUUUUCGAAGAAUGAUUUGUAAACUUCUUUCAAAUAAUCCUCGGUUUCCCAAGUGGCAUCUUCUUCCCCGUGGUUACUCCACCACACUUUGUAGAACUUAACCACACGAUUACGAUUCACCCGUUCCUUGCAGUCAAGUACCGCUACAGGUUUUUCUUCAUACACCAAGUCUGAUUUCAACUUGAUAUCUCGAACUUCCACUCUUUCCUCCGGAAUACGAAGGCAUUUCUUUAGCUAUGAUCGUGGAAGACAGGGAAAAUAGCUCGAAGCUCAACUGGGAGUUGAACUUUGUAUGCUACGUUUCCUUUCCCUUCGAGAAUCUGAUAAGGUCCCACAUAACGAGGUGAAAGCUUUCGCUUGACUCCGAACCUUUGUACACCCUUCAUCGGAGACACCUUGAUAUACACAUGCUCACCGAUCGCAAACUCAAUUGGCUUCUUCUUUUGUCAGCAUAACUUUUCUGACGAGCUUGAGCAGCUUCCAGAUGUUGCUGGAUGGUACGGACUUGCUGCUCUGCUUCGUUCACGAAAUCGAUGCCAUAAUACCUUCGCUCCCCGGAUUCCACCCAAUUCAACGGGGUUCGACACUUUCGACCAUACAAGGCUUCAAAUGGAGCCAUCUUGAUACUCUCCUGAUAACUAUUGUUAUAAGAGAACUCCGCUAAUGGCAACCAAUUAACCCAAGAACCCUUUGAGGAGAGAGCACAUGCCCUCAGCAUGUCUUCUAGGAUUUGGUUGACCCGUUCAGUUUGACCUGCUGUUUGGGGAUGAUAUGCCGAACUACAAACUAAGUGAGUACCAAUCUGCUCAUGCAGACACUCCCAAAAACGAGCAGUGAACUGUGGUCCAUGAUCUGAUAUGAUAGUUCGAGGCACACCAUACAGACGAACAAUGUGCUCGAAAUACAACUCCACAUAUUGAUGUGGACGAUAGUCAGUUCAAACUGGAAUAAAACGAGCAACCUUGGUCAAACGAUCUACAAUCACCCAGAUAGAGUCAUAACCCUUGACAGAAGUUGCAAGUCCAACGAUGAAAUCCAUGCUAACUUCUUCCCAUUUCCAACCAGGAAUUGACAAGGGUUGAAGCAAACCAGCUUUCAUAUGAACGGCCUUUACGCGACAACAAUUGUCACAACGUGCGACAAAAGCAGCAAUCUCCUUUUUCAUUUUUGUCCACCAAAACAGAGAUUUUAGAUCCUGAUACAUCUUGCUACUUCUAGGAUGGAUAGACAAUUUGGAUGAAUGAGCUUCAAAUAAGAUCUGGUUUCAUAGCUCACAGUCUUUUGGGACCACUAGUCGAUCUUUGAACCAAAGAAUUCUGUUUUCAUCAACCCGGAAGUGCUUGGUUUCUUCUUCCUUCAUUUUCCUCUUUAUAUGGUGGAUGCCUACAUCUGUUUGCUGCAAUUCGAUGACUUGGUUACGAAGAGUGCUCUCCAGAGAAAUCUGGUUGAGCACAAGUGGAUGCAUAAGAUGUGACAACAACAGAUCUUCCACCUGAACUGAGUGACAGUGCGCUUUCCGACUCAAGGCAUCCGCAACCACGUUUGCCUUGCCCGGGUGAUAGUGCACUUGUAGAUUAUAAUCUUUAAUCAACUCAAGCCACCUUCGCUGCCGCAUGUUUAAUUCAGGUUGAGUGAAGAUGUACUUGAGGCUCUUAUGAUUGGUGUAGAUAUUGCACAGAUUAGCCAGCAAAUAGUGCCUCUAGAUUUUCAAAGCAUGAACAACUGCUGCCAAUUCUAAGUCAUGAGUAGGGUAAUUAACCUCAUGCUUUCGAUGUUGGCGCGAGGCAUACGCGAUAACGCGACCUUCCUGCAUCAGCACGCAGCCUAGACCAAUGCCCGACGCGUCACAGAAGACAUCGAAGGGCUUCUCGAUAUCAGGCUGAGCUAGGACAGAAGCUGAUGUCAGCAAUGUCCUCAACUUGUGGAAUGCCGUCCACACAAACUUCUCAUCUUUUUGAAGUAGACGAGUCAUAGGCUUGGAUAUUUUUGAAAAUUCUAGGAUGAACCGACGAUAAUACCCAGCCAAACCGAGAAAACAACGAACCUCGUGUACCGAAGUUGGAACUUUCCAAUCCAGCACUUCUUGCACCUUAGCCGGAUCCACCGAUAUGCCUUCUUCAGAUAAGACAUGGCCCAAGAAAGGUACUUUCCUUAGCCAAAACUCGCAUUUGCUGAAUUUUGCAUAAAGCUGAUGCUCACGCAAACGCGACAACACCACACGCAGAUGCUCUACAUGCUCCUUUUCAUUGCAAGAAUAUACCAAGAUAUCAUCAAUGAAGACCACCACAAACUUGUCCAAUUCGUGCAUGAACACCGAAUUCAUGAGGUACAUGAAAUGAGCAGGUGCAUUCGUAAGACCGAAGGACAUGACGAGAUACUCAUACAACCCAUACCUCGUCGAGAAAGCUGUCUUGGGCACAUCUUCAGGACGGAUCUUGAUCUGAUGACACCCAGAUCGCAAAUCAAUCUUGGAGAAUACCUUAGCUUUAGACAACUGAUCAAACAAGAUAUCAAUGCGAGGAAGAGGGUAUUUAUUCUUGAUGGUCACCGCAUUUAGGGGACGAUAGUCCACACACAUGCGUAAGGACUGAUCCUUCUACUUCACAAAGAUAGCCAGACAACCCCAAGGAGAAGAACUAGGACGGAUAAGACCCUUUUUCAACAACUCAUUCAACUGGGUCUUAAGCUCUGCUAGCUCAUUGGGUGGCAUUCUAUAAGGCCUUCUAGAGAUAGGAGCGGUACCUGGAAUCAAUUCAAUUUUGAACUCCACAUCCCGAUCUGGAGGAAGUCUGGGUAAAUCAUCAGGAAAUACAUCCGGAAACUCACACACCACCGGAAUAUCCUGGAAUGCCUUAGCUGUAACUGCAUUCACAGUGCUACGGAUAAGGAUAUCUCGAGGAAGUUGCUCUAAGAACGCUUCCCUGGUAUUUGGGUCUCUCAACAUCACUACACGAGUGGGGGUGUCAAUAAGAACUCCCUUACCACUCAUCCAAUUCAUACCUAGAAUUACAUCUAUGCCCACACCGGGUAAGACAACCAGAUCAGCAAGAAACUGACAGCCUCCAAUUUCUAGAGUUGCCCCAAAAACCACUUGAUUGGUAGAAAUAUCAUUCCCAGCAGCACUAAUGCAAUAACUACCCUUAUCAAGUGUACUUGUCUUGAGAUCAUGCUUAGACACAAAGUCUGAACUCAUAAAAGAAUGUGAUGCUCCUGAAUCAAAAAGCACAAGUGCAUCACAUUGGUUAACCAGAAACUUACCAGCUGUAACUACCUCGCCAGCAGGGAUUGCCUCCACAGUUGUGUAGUGAACACGCCCCUGGCGGACGUUCCCUUGGUUGUCCUUCUUCGGCAGGUAAGGACAAUUGCUCUGCCAAUGCCCGGUCUGAUUGCAGUUCCAGCACGGACGGUUGGCAGGUGGAGUCUUGGCAUAGUUGGGACCCGUGUUACCCCUAGGAAGAGCAAUGGAGUAACCCUUGCGGAAACCCGUCUUCGCCUGAUUCUUCUUCACAGGCGGACGAUACCGCUGGUUAGGAGUCGGAGCACGGAUCGGUGGCCUAGCUGCCAGUGGAGCCUUGGAUUGGGAUGCCCCUGCCCCGGCUUCGAAAGCCCUUUUGCGAGUCUUGGUUGCAGUGUACACAGUGUUAUAGUUCUCUUGGGUGAGAGCAUCACUGACAAACUCAUUGAAAGUUGCACACUUAGAGCGGCCCAUAGUCUUCAGCAACUUGGGGCCAAGACCCCUUUUGAAGCUAGCAAUCUUCUUGGUCUCAGUGUUCACAAACUCUGGCGCAUACCUUGACAAAUGAUUGAAAGCAUGCAAGUACUCCUUCAGAGUUUUGUCGCCCUGAGUUAACUGCAUAAACUCGGUAUGCUUCAUUUCCAUGACACCAGGAGGAAUGAAAUGCCCCUUGAAUGCUUCACGGAAAAGAUUCCAGUCAAGCACAGUGUCGGCUGGAAGAGCUUCCCGAUACUGAUUCCACCAGAUGCCUGCUGGACCAUGCAGUUGGUGAGCUGCAUACUCCGCCUUCAAACCCUCAGUCAGCCGAAGUAAGCGGAACUUUUGUUCUACCGUGUUCAGCCAUUCCUCAGCUUGAAGGGGUUCUUCCGCCUCUCUAAAAGGUGGGGGCUUCGUAUCCAUGAAGUCCUUGAAGCUACUGUACUGGUUAGGUGCUGGCCCUUCGUGUGCAUUACGACCACCUUGAUUUGCCAUCUGAUUGAUGGUCUCAGUAAGCAUCCUCUGAUUUUCCACCAUCAUUUGCAUCAGCUCAGCUGGAUUUGGUGGUGGAGGAGGAGGGGGUGGGUUCAUGUUCGCACGCUGUUCCGCACCUCGAGUGCCACGAGACAUCUGUAAAGGUACAGUAAGUGAGCAUUGAUGAUGACAAAACUUGCUGUAGAAGAACUUAUAUUUAUGCCUGAAAGUAUUCGAGAGAAUAACUUUAUGGAAAAAGGCACAAUAAUUCGAUUCCACAAAACAGCAACACCAAUCCAACAUAUGACAGAGACAUCCGUAAUAUGCACCAUAACGGAAAACAUCGUCACAACCGAUCGAACAUGAUAACAUAACACAUUGGGUCCAUAGAGUUAUUACACCAUCACAGUACAUGACAUAAGGCAAAUAUCAAGGUUUUGGAUUACAUCAUGAUUACAAAAGCACCACUGCUGACUGCCAAACUACAAAAGAUCCUCCCAACAACUACUCACUACACUCCAUGCUCGUCGUCCGAGUCAGCGUCGAAGAUCGCCUCUCCAUCCUCGUCGCUAACUGGCUCAAGCUCCUCGUCCUCCACAUCCUCGUGCAAGGGUGGUGCAGCCGCUGCUGGUCCAUCGACCUCCAUACCAUCGUCAUCGGCCACAAUCACCUGAGGUCCCACCUCUGGAUACACGGGCACAGGGUGAGGAAUAGGGUGUAGCAAGUUGUAGAGACGGUGAAUCUCCGCAAGACCAGCCUCAAUCUGAUCCUGCAGAUAGUUCUCCCGCUCAAGAGACUCAAUCCGGUGCAUCUCCCAUGCCCGGCGCCUGUUCUCCGACAUACGGCGCGCAGUAUCCCUCUCACGAGUGACCUGCACCAAGCGCUCCUGCACUGUCGUCUUCUCUCUAGCCAACUGACUCAUAUGAUCCUGCUUAUGAUCUCUUUCCCUAAUGGCCUUCACCCACUGCUGCCUACGGUACUCCGCAAUGUCUUCCCAGUCAUUGCGGUCCUUCUGAGCUUGCUCCAGGAGUCUAGCUUGCUUGCGAAACUUGCGAGCACGCUUUUUAGCCUUCUGUUGCAUCUCCUGAGCCUGGCGAAUAGCCACCAUCACCUGUGCAUAGGUGUCCUCUCGCUGACUGAACAGCUUGAGCACAGCCAUCAUAGCACUCAUAGUAGGACCGGAACUCUCAGCUCGCUCUCCCCUGCCUCGGACCAACGCACAACCAUCAGCCUGCUUCCACUCCGCUGCUGCUGGAUCAGCACGGGGAAUGGAGGCCGCUGGUCCUCCUGUCAGCUCAUUGCCAAACCUCUGACAGAAAUUGAGCAGCAUAGCCUGGGCUGCAACCUGAGCUGCUUCCCAAGGAGUCUGCCCAUCUGAGUUACAGGUCCACCCUGUCCAUGUAGGCCUGCCCCCAUGUGGAGGGACAACUCCCUGCAGAGCAAACCACUGUAACUCUCCUAUCAUAUUCACCUCCCACCAAGAAUACUGAGGUGGCUCAGUACACCCCACAGACUGUAGCACUCUCCAAAGCAAGGUAGGAGUGCCAAACUCGCUCAAGAAAGUGUCACUGGGGCGAGGUGAAGCGGGCACGUCCAUCUGUGGAAAGGAAUAGGAAUACCAUGGGUAAGAGAGGAUUAUUUUUUUUAAGCAACAUUUAUUAAUUAAAAGGGGACGACUUGUAAGGGAAGGAGUAGACAGAAUGUAUGUAUGAAUGCGACAUGAUGCAUGCACGAACCGUACGUCCUCACAAACUUAGAAAAUUAAUAUUCUAACGAAUAUACGGUGGCAUACAUUCGUCUCUCGAUACGAUAACUAGCGAUUUACAUGUGCGCUGUUAGAGUACCUGUAGAAAACUUUAUUGCAGCCCACAGUUCCCAAUAUAUCACUCAAGAAAGUAGUAAACUAAGUGCACAUUGCUUGGACAUGCCCAACAUGCACAAACAAUGACACCACAGCUACCCGAGAAAUUAAAUGCUCCCCAAUUAAGUUUCUUUCGUGGUUCCAUGGUUUUGACAUGUAACCACUCCAGAAAACCACCGCGAACACUCCCCUAGACCGCCGUUUGGACGAUCAUGCUCUCACAGCUCACACUUACCAGAACGUAGGUGCGACGUUGCAUAAUUUAAAUCUAGCGACAUAUGUGGCUAAUUCACAUAUGAAGGCUACCUCUACCAUUAGACCACAGGAUAGCAUAGUGCGGUCAUCACACAUCCAUACCUGAGUACUUAGACCACAGGAUAGCAUAGUGCGGUCAUCACACAUCCAUACCUGAGUACUGCCGGAGAUGCAUAAAUAAAACCCCCCAAGUCAGUACUUAGAUAGCCACUAUAGUCCUUAUAUGGGCAAGGAGGAUUCGACCACUGGCAUAACUUAAGUAUUAAUUUACACUAUUUUAUUUAAAAACUCUUUUGUUUUUAAAUACACAAACGCUGCAUUUAUAAUGCUGAACUUGCUCCGAUACCAGCUGUCACAGAACCGACCAAAUUAUAAGAGUUCAACUGUAGAAACGAUCGACAAGCAAUCAAGUUUCCAAAACUUGAGCCCAUAUAAUCCCGGUAGUCAACUGAAAUUACGAAGGACUUCAAACCAACUUGCAACAAACCAAGAUCGUAAUAAUUCGACACAACACAGCGAAUGUUACAUAGUCAUUCAUUGCUGACGAAGCGACACCACAUCGGAGUUAUUAAGUUAUUACAACACAUGUUCGAAGUAGCAGAAGCAAAGUAAUUACACACACUUUCCUAAGUUCUUUUCACCAGUUCUUGUUUAGCCAGGGUCUCAUGCCAUCCAUCCAAAAGCAUCAGAUACGAAGUAGUUAGAGAACCGUGCCCAACGGUUAGUCCUCAUCCCCAGCGGGAUGGAGACAGGUCUUACAGAAGCCAUCAUAAAAGAUAUCAUCUGCAACAGGUGGGAAUAAACCCUGAGUACGAGAUUGUACUCAGCUAGACUUACCCGUCUAGUAAAACAUAAAAGACACCAAGGAUCAUGCAAGGCUAAUAUCAAGUAGAGCUGGUUGACUCAACAUUUGCCAAAAGUUAAAUUAUAACUACAAUUUUGUGAGAGCAUCAUCUUUAAUUAUCAUCAGCCUACUACUAGAUUAGCACCUGUACUAAAGCACUUCACUAGAUUAUUACAAGCAAUAAUAACCAUAUCAAGUUCAUCAUGUGUCCUUCCUUGCUAUCAUCAUUAUCAUGAACCAAGUUCUUUAGUGAAUGCUACGUUUGCCGCUGCUCUGUCAAGUUCUCACUGACCGUGAGAGACGACGAUUCGAAUCGAAUUCCUAUCCAGCUGGAGGUGUACUCCUAGCACUCACCCAAGCAUCCCCCGUCGGAGAGCCAACGGGUCACCUUUGGUACGACGAAGGAAUCGCGGUUUCGAUUAGCGCCGCACUCCUAGGGCUACCACUCUUCCAGGAAGGUCAGGAAUUUUAACUCACCUACCUUUGGACUUACGCCAAUGGUCCUCCGCACACCGCACUUCCUCCGAUAGUGCGCACUUUAUACUUAUCGACCUUCCGGCCUGAGUCAUAUUACUUGGCUUCGCGGUCAGAACGAGUUUUCCGGCCAACUAAGUGUCAGGCAUGCGUUCAACAUGACAAGAGGACGUACAACGGUCGGUCCUUAGUUGCCACAGACGGAGUCACUACAACCUUGCAAAACUCCGCCUGGCUUAAGUCAAUUUAAUCAGGUUCCACCCACGAUAGCACAUAUAGUCCAUCGUGAUCCAACAUAACCCUAUAUCGCGCAGGUGACAGGAAAUCACCCGACUUCUACCGAUUAAAGCAUGGCUAAGCUGCUACUCGAUCCUAACUCUACAAUCAAGGUAUGGUAAGUUAUCUGGACAAGGAUGGAGUAAAAUGCAGCAAAGGUUUCAUCACAACUCCUAUACUUAAUGCAUCAAUAGAUAUAACAUAUUAAGUACACUUUCAAAAGUAAAGGGAGACUUAGAAUGCUCCAGGGCUUGCCUUUCACGAACGAGGCUGGCUCGUGAUUUGGGCACUCAACUUCUUCUUCGGGCUCCUCGAGUCCGACUUGCUGGACCUCCACCUCCUGGUUGCCCUCCUGGCCUUCGGGGUUCACUAGGAGCUCGUAGGAAGCGGUCGUGUCCGAUGCACCUAUUGCAUGCUCAAUGAAUAAGAAGAUGUGUAACACUCUGGUGUUAAACAAACUAAAAGCGGAUCAUGUCAUCAUGAGCAUUGCAUAGCAUUUUGUUAAGCACACCCUGAUGCAUUAACUUAAAACGAGUUUAAAUUUGGUUGAAUGUGCUUAGGAAUUAAAGUGUGCUUAUAUUGUGUAUGGAUGCUUGUGUUGGUGUUUAAAACCCUUGGGUAAAAGUUUUCCGAGAACUUAAAGGGGGGAAACCCUGAUUUUAAAACCCUGGAUUUGUCCCCUUUUGUGCAAUUCAAAAACCAAGCACAACUUGAAGUUAAGUUCAGAAGCAAAGUUGUAGGUCUUGUCAAGAUGUACAACUUUGGUGUUUUGAGUUUUUGGAGUUUCAAUACAAAAUUCAAAGUAAUUUUGAAAAUACAGAUUUCCGGAAAGUGUCCCCUUUUCUAAUUUAAAUCUCCAAUUCAAAAUCUAUUUGGAAUUUUGAAACAUGGUCAACAUGAAAGUUGUAGGGCUUGAAAAGUUGAACAACUUUCAUGUUGGGAGUUUUUCAAGUUGUUUUGGAAAAUCAAAAGUAAUUUUGGAAUUUCUUAUCUGCCCCAAUUCAAAAUUGGAAUUUUUUUCCCCAACUUGAGAUAUGGAUUUCAAACUGUUUGGCUCAAAUUCAUCCCUUUCCAUUUGAAAUCAGCCUUGGACCCUUAAAGAUGUUUUGUAGUAUUCAAAAUUCUGAACAAGUUUUAUUUUGGCAGAAAUUUGACUUCUGUUCAAAUUUUGGUUGUUUUUCGCAAAAAGGCAGAAGGGGCUUUUGGGGAAGGGGGGGAUAAGUUCUAGCCCCUGUUCACGGCGGUGGACCGCCGAGCUUGGGCCGGCGUUUGCCAGCGCGUGAGCGCCGUGUCACCUCGUCCCAGCACACAUCCGUCUCCGUGGCAUCGAGUAGCAGCUGCUGGCGCCUCUGCUUGCUUCGUGGCGUUCCAUCCUGAGCUUGCCGAACUUGUCUUGCCACCGGAGCACCGACGGGCAGCGGCUCAUCCACUCCAAAUUCACCGCAGCGGUUGAUCCUCAUCCGAAUUCACCAUGGACAUAAAGUGGUUACCUCCUUGCGCACCUCCCGAACCCAUCCUUCCCUUCCCUUUCAGAUCAGAGCGUCGGAGUUCGCUGUUUUCCUCUCCGCCGGUGACAGAGCGCCGUCGUGGAGCUCUUCCCGUGGCCACGGUUUUCUAGUCGGUAUCAUGCUUCUCUGGCAGCUGUUUCAAGUUCUAUUUGUGUUCUAGUAGCUCAUGCGCUCGCUCUUUCGUUUUGGGCACGAACAGAAUCGCCGGAACGAGCUCACCGGAGCCGGAGCGUCCGCCCGACCACACGGCCAAUGACGCCCGAGCUUUCUACUGCUUCUUCCGCCGUGGUGACGUGAGCAUCGUGUUCCCUAAACCUCCUUGAAACUCCCUGUUCCUCUUGUUUACGCUCUACCGAGCUCUAGUGGCCGGUCUACAGGUGACCGCCAUGGCCGUCCGCCAUUCGCGCGGCCGAGGUGGAAAGAGAGGGGUGGAGCGUGCUUGGAGCCUAGCAGUAGGGUCGCGGGAGCGACGCGACGCUGUUGCGCACCUCAGCGCGAGCUCAGACCCCGCCGGCAUUGACCGGAGUCGCGGCCGAGCCGGCGUGCGUGUGGGAGAGAGAGCUGACGGGUGGGGAUACCCCGUCAGUGGCUGUGUGAGAGAGAAAGAGGGCGCGGACGCGCGCGGCGCGAGUAUGGGCCGGCCUGCGGGCCUUUUGGCUGGGCCUCGCCCAGUUUCAUAUUGUUUUCUUUUUCCUUUUUGUUUAAAAAUGCUGGAUGUUUGAAUUUGUAUAAUAAAUUAUUUGCUGAUCUAAAAAUUAUGAAAAUUUUUGUGUAGGUCACAUAAAUUUAUUAGAACACAGGAAAAAUGUUAGACUUUAUUUUAUGAUAGUUUGCAUGUAUCUAUAAAUUGCCUCUGUUUAUUAAUAAAUAAACCUUCCAUGAUUUUUAAUAAUCUAUGGGUAUAUCCAAAAAUCAUGAAAUUGAAUAUGGGAACUUGGGUUACUGUUAUCUAGCUUCAGGAAUAAUUUCAGCUCUUUUUGAUAAAGUAUGCUAUGUUCCUUAAUAAAGCUAUUUAAAAUAAUUAUAAAAGAAAUAGAAAUAAUUAAUCCUUUUAGGAUUUAAGUGGUAUUUUGGAUUGAUUGGCAACCAGUGGUCAUUUAGCAUGAUAUGCUCCCUGGUUAUGAUUUAUUUUAUAUAAAUGAUCUUUGUUGUUUGAUAGAUACCCAACACUGCUUAAUAAAAAUGAUAAAGUUUGUUUAGUGAUAAUCUAUGCUUUGAUAGCUAGCUUGGUUUGUUUCUUUACCAUGAAGGUAAAUUGUACUCGAGGUAAUUAUGUUGUUGUUGUCAUCCAAGAACAUGUAACCUGUCUUUAUCAUGCCAUGAGUAUCUCAUAAUCAUGCAUAUGCAUUUUUACGUAUAGAAUACGCUCCGGAAGAAUCUGAUCCUCAGUGGGUUGCUUCCGAGUUUGUGAAUCCUUCUGGUGUUGCUGAGUUGUCGGACUUCCCUUCUGGUCAAGGCAAGCCCCGGACAUUAAACCCUAUCCUUGUAUUUUCAUAAAGUUAUUUAUAUCACUUGAGUUAAUAUGAUGCAUUAGGUGAUUAGGAGUUGAAUGAAUCCUAUUUGCUGCAUUAUCUACCUUGAUGAUUUCAAUAUUAACCUUGAUACUUGUUUUAUGAAAGUACUUAGUAUGCUUAGCCCUGCUUAUUAGAUAGGUUUUCAAAUGAGAAAGUUUGAAGGGUUGUUGUGGAAUACUUUUAUGGUUAAUGGUGUUCAACUUGAGACCGGUCGGUGGACUUGCUUUAAGAAUGGAGUCUUAAAGUAGUGUCUCCAACUGUGUCGAUUAAGGACCGUAUCGUUGUUGGCCUGCUAUGAUUGAGACCUUUGAGUACAGCCCACAUGCGGUGGUAAGCCUUACCUAUAGCUAUUCCGAUACUUGUGAACGGCUAACCGCGUACUGGGAGUGGAGAGAUGGCGAGAGUAGCGUGUACCCACCUUACGGAUCUGAGAUGACCGGGAAACAUCUAGAUUGGCUGUAGGAUGGUGGUGUACUGUACUCUCGGGUGACGCUGGACCCGUUCUUAUAUGGGAGGAUCUAUAGAAAAGGUUGACAUAUGCAAGAUUAAGUUCUACAUAUGUCGUGUGGUACUGAAUCCCCAGCUGGGUUUAAUUGAUUCGAAUCGCCGUGUUUCCUCGGAUAUGGAGCCUCAAUCCUCACCCCAUCAUCGUAGUAAUAAGUGAAUCUUUGGCAUGAGAAAGAUAUGGUUUGCUUAUGAAAGUUUGAUAAUAGUUUUGGUUAGGCAUCAAUGAUGAUCUUGAGUUAAAACUUGAAAGUAGGUUUUACUCUUAGUAAGCUUUUAUGCAAAAGAAAUGCUUGAUCUUGCUAAAGCUUUACCUUGAAUCCCUAUAGCCUGCAUACCUGAGUCUUCACCUCUUUUCUAGUCGGUUAAGUCUUGUUGAGUACUUUUGUACUCAGGGUUUAUUAACCCAUGUUGCAGGUGAACCUUUUGAUCAACCUUUUGAUGGUCGUUGUUUCUUCACUCUUGUGGAGGAGAGUGAUGAUGAUGAAUCUGAUGUGUGACCUUGGGCAAGUAAAACUUGUUAUGUGGCUUAUGGUUUUUGUAAUAUAAAGUUCCGAACCUUUUAGGUACUAAAUACUUAUGGUUUGUAAUCUUUGGACUUGAGUUCAAUCUAUGUUAUGUAACCUUUCCACUUUUACUCUGAUUUAUCUUGUCUAUGAAAUGUUGUAAUACUGUAAUGCUUAAUGAGGGAAUGCCUGGAAAGAAUGUAACGUGGAUGAUUCGGGUUUCCCGAGGACACCCGACAGACUUCUUGAGUGUUGACGGUCCUUAAUGCUUACAUUUAACCAUCAACUAAUCAUAGAAAAGGAUCCAAAUGCAACCAACACCUAGACUUAGGGUUUUAUCUGAUAGAAUUCCACGAGUUUUGGUGUUUGUCUAUUUCUGCAGGGGGUUAUCAGGAAAUAAGGAAGAAAGGCCCACACGUCGGGUUUACAUAGAGAUAUUAAUGUGUCGCGCAAUUUUCUAUCAUCUAGAAGACUCCAGAAGCCACGGGAACGAACGGGGAGGAAAUCGGGCUCGGAGGCAGGGCGCCCGCCCAACUCUCCUGGGCGCCCGCCCAGCUACAGUGCCCAAUCAGGACACAUUUCGCGGAUCAUGCUCCACCGACCUAAUACUUCAAGGAAAACCACACGAUCAAUGUCGGUUUGAUCCGACGGCCCAGAUUGACUUGAAGGGACUAUAAAACCAGACCCCCCUGGCCCCUGGAGAUCAUACCUCUUCUACAGAAUCAAAGUUAGGGUUUCAAUUCUUCAUCCAAGUAGAGAGGAUCCCUCUAGUUCUUCUAGUUCUACCUCUAGUUCAUCUAGUUCUAGUUCUAGUUCAUCUGGUUCUAGUUCUAGUUCCUCUAGUUUUAGUUCUAGUUAGUUCUAGUUGUAAUCUAGAAAAUAGGGAGAGAGAAGAGGAGAGCGGAGGAGGAGCCGGAUCUGUCGGAUCUUCCUCAACAUUAUACUUUUGCAGCAUCUGGUUCGUUCUUCAUCGUUCUCCAGGUUCUUCAAUUCAUAAUUCCUAAGUUCUUUAAUUACUUUUAUUUACAUUCAAGUUAUUUAUUGGAUUCCCGCUUGCAUCAAGUGCUCUAGUCUUUAUAACGCUAGAGUAGUAAUUAAUAGAUUAGACAUGGUGUUUAGUCUUGCAAUUACCUGGAAUUGCACCCAAUCCUACGGAUUGUUGUGGUAGCCUUAGGGUAGUGACAGCCCUAACGGUCGACGUAUUCCACCACGUUCGGAUCGGUGUUUGUAGGACCGUAGUCAGACCUUCCUAGCCCCCUUCUCAUCUCUUUCCGUGGUUAGUGCUCUGAUGUCCCGAUAUAGAUAAUCUUGAAGUAAUUCUUGAUUCUUAGAUCAACUAGAGAACUCUCAGGAAACUUCCUCUCUUCCCACCAAAAAUAAUCAUAUAGUUAUCCUUGGGUGAUCUUGGAUCUUAAUUAGUACACUCAUGUUCUCUGUGGAAAAUCGAUACUCUGGAAUACUCCCGGGUGAAGGCUACAUCGGUAUCCGUGCGCUUGCGGAUUUUUCUGUUUGCGUUUAAAAUACCCAACAAGCUUUCUGGUGCCGUUGCCGGGGAACGGUAGCUGUGCUAGUUUCGAACAAGUCGUCCGUGUAUCCUUUUUCUUUUCCUUUUUUACCACACUCACCUUAUCACUUUCACUAUACCACAUGGAUUUCACUCUAAGCAUUAAUGAGCAUGUAAUUUAUUUCAUAGCCACUUCAUUUACUCCAUGCUCACAUGCAACAUCUUCACAAUCCAUUGGUCUCUCCAACAUCACCACAUUCGAGAUCUCCAACCCCCACUUCCUUUCUAUUUAUAAAAACUUUAAAAGGGCGGUUGUCGACGCAUAUGUCUAUAAUAAAUUUUGCAGAUAUCGUUGAGUUGAUCUUGAUAUAGGUCAGCGUUGGAGGGGAAACCACUUCGCCGACAUAAAUUGAGGGUUUCCCAAGGACAAGCUUAGUGUCCUAAAACAAGCACUGAUCAAAUCGUAACAUGAGCUUUUAAUUAUUUGCAACAUUACCUUGUGUAUUGAGCAUAUAAGGAUAAUUGUAAAAAUUCCUUCGGGUAUUCUUGUCACUAACCUUUCCAGGAUUGGAGCAAGAGGAUCGGAUGAAUGACAAGCACAAGGUAUGUCCAACAAAUCAUCAUACAACAUUGAAUUAAAUUCAUCCAAACUUGAAUUUUGCAAAAUUAAAGCUUGGGGGAGUACUUUAUAUAAAAACAUCAUUUGCCAUGUUGCUAUGUUGGUUGUCCCUACCUUUGAGACAUGCUCAUUUUGUUAAAUAGUAAUCACAGUACUUCAUCUCCACUUGAGUAGAUCUCUAUAAAAGCCAUCACGCUACCUUUGUUUAUCCUAGUAAGUGUUAGUUUGGAAGUACUGUACAUACUUCUAUUGGUUUUUAAAUUAAGCAUGGUGCUUAGGUUAAAUAGCCUUCCUUAAUCUAAUUAGACAUGGAGUCUAGUUUGGUUAUUGAACUAAAAACUGCUUGUGCAGAUAUUGGUAUAUUUUGUUGGACUAACCCCUGCAGGAAAACUUUCAAUAUCGACCUGGGAAGUCCUGAGAUAAACUCACAUUGGAGACAAAGAGAGACACACAUGAAGUUUAACAAUUUACACAAGGAAGGCAUAGCUCACAAGAGAUGAUCCAUGGAGGGUGCCACAAACACAAUGCAUAACCGCUAAGAGAGGAAAGCUUCCACAAGGUGAUACUGUACCAUCACUCUUCAAGUAAGGUACACUUCGAGUAAAAUAUGAAGGACUUUUACAACUCCCAGACUCCACCAAGUGAAGAACCUAGAUAUACGAGCACAAACACACUAGAGAUACUGGACACUCAGGCAAUCACUGCCCUGAGAUGGUUGAGGACGUAACUACUGGAGUAACCCCGUUGUGGAAGUAAUUACUGACCUUCUGCCGGUCAAGAGAGACAACUUCAGGACGCCCCGUCAUCCCGAUCUCUAUCGGCUUGGUGGACUUCCUAGAAGCACUUUGCGACUUUGGCUCCAGCGUCAACAUUAUGCCCAGGGUACUCUAUGAAAAAUUCUUUACACAUCCUUUAUUAGAAACAGCCAAGUGUUUGCAGCUUGCAGAUCGUACGCUAAGUUUCCCAAAGGGAAUAUUGAAGAACCUCUGCGUUCGAGUUGGUACCUUAUAUGACCCAGCAGACUUCGUGGUGAUAGAGACAGGUAGUGAUGAGAGGGCACCCAUCAUCCUAGGGAGGCCAUUCCUGAACACCUCGGGAGCUAUCAUCUACGCUAGUGCUGCCAAGAUCAGUUUCUACAUCAAGGGAAGGAAGGAGACGUUUUCCUUCAAGAACAAGACUACACAAAUCUCAGAGCAUUCUCGUCAUGAACCAAGAAAGAGGACCAACAGGAGGAACAAGAACAAGUAAAUGUGUACCGAGUCAGCUAAGAUGGUCACUGCAGCUCAAGGAGGUCAAGAUCGUCAACUCAAGUCACCUUUCUCGAUCAAGAAGGACGACCCUGGUGUUCCAAGCAUUGAGUGCACAAUCAACGGAUAUUCUUUUCAGAAGACACUCUACGACACCAGAUCAGGCGUCAACAUAAAGGCUGCAGUCACCUAUCAGCUCCUAUUCGGAACUAUGCCCCUAAAACCGACAUAAACCCAGCUCCAGAUGGCAGAUCAAACAUUUCAGAAGGUUGAAGUUACUGACAUAGGAGAAGACGAGUACGAUCCACCCAUCAUCCUUGGAAGACCGUUCCUCAACACCGUUAAAGCAAUCAUCUACAUUGGAACCGGAGAAGUCCACAUACACUUCCCCUCUGAGAAGGUACGCCGCUAUUUUACUGACCCUAACUAUAUAGUUGAAGACCCUAAGCAGGUCAGUACAAGAAGAAGACGACGCAACCGCAACCAGAGGAGGCAAAUCAUCAAGGAUGGAUGGGCAGACAACGAGGAGAAAUAGUGAGGUCUGAAGACAUACAGCUUGAACAGAACUGUCCUGAGGAGACCAUAGCACCGAGUCAGGUGUGUAGAGAGAAGAUAGUUAUAAAUGAAGAGUAGGCGCCGCCGGAACCACCGACUACGCCAUCGAGCGAAUCCCAGGAUGAUUGAGAAAACAGAGAGUCCCGUUCGGAGGACUUAAAAACACCGAACGCCUUGCCAAGAGCUUUGUUGUCUAUUUGAGCUCCACAGAAUUCAAGGAUCAAAGAAGACUAGCAGACUAGCAGACGAAGGACAUCCUAAUCGCUGUCAGGGUACUGCCGACAUUCAAAUAUACCUCCGUCACCUGCUAGCUACAUUAGAGGAAAUUACGUCAAAAUCCAGCUUGGGGGAGAGCACCCCCAUUUAUCGAGCUAAGUGUUUCUACUCACGUUUAUAUUUUACUCAAAUAAUAAAAAGAUGCAUAAUCAUAAAAACCCAAAUAAAGAUUUUGUGCUUAUAUAUAUAUCUUUGCUUAGUUUGCUAAAUAAAUGAAUAAAUAAAGUUUGCUAUGAAUCCUCAUGAUAAGCUCUCACAUGGAAAUGAUGAAUAGUUGCUCUGCCAUAACUAGUUCUCAAAAUUGAAAUCACUCUCAAGUUUAGGCAUGACUGUUAUUAAUUAAGAUUUGCUCUAAACCUAAACUUGUGGGAAGAGUACUUGAUCUAAAGUCUAAGUCGUUAACGGAUAUGAUAUGGGAAUGUUGAGCUGCUGUUUAUCUGUUCCUAGAGAUGCUAGAAUUCUGGAGAAUUUUAUCUUUGAAAAUCUUUAAAAUGUUGCAUGAUGAGUUCCAGUAUGAUGAGAGUUUAAAUUCCUACCACAGCCAUAUAUACAUGCUUGUUAGACUAUGAACCACACAUUUACUUUUUACUGCUUAUAAGCAUUGAGUGUGGUCAAGCUGUGUAGACCCUUAGGAGCUUGUCAUGUGGUUAAAUCAAGAUUCACUUGCACGUUCACUCACACAUGAUACCUCUACUCCGGAAGUACCAUCCACAUAUAUCCAUUUCCAUCUCCAGAACCACCCAAAAAUAUUCUACUCCUAAUCCGGGAGAGAAUAGCCAAAAACAUUUCUGUUUUCCCCUGUGAAAUAAAUGCUCAAGUUAUCUUGUUACUACCACUUGCUAUAUUAUUUCAUGAGAUGAGUGCUCUCUAAAAAAAAGAGAAAAAAAAGAAAAAAAAAGAGAUACGAGGAAAUAAAAAAGGGGCAAGUGCUCGGAACCUCGAAAGAAAAGAAAAAGUGAGACAAGAGGUAAAAAUGGACAAGUGUCCGACAGUAGAAUUAGGGGUACAAGAUACCCACCUGAGAGAAAAAAAAAAGAAAAUAUAGAGCAUCUCAUUCUCCUCAAAAAGUUUCAAAAGAGUAAGAAAGGUAUGUAUCCCCUCAAAAGAGCAUAAGUAGAAUUAGACUUUCACCAUUAUCACCAUCAUCACCAUACACCAUUCAUUCACCACACAUGCACAUCUUGAUUUGACUUAUUGACUUGUUCUUCUGGAUCCAUGGUUUGACUAUGCAAUAAAUGUCUUGUAAGUAUGUAUUAGCGGUCUCCCACCUAUGAGCUCCAGAUAUCAAAACCUUAUUAGAGUAGGGUGAGAGAGAAGGCAAUGCUACUAUGCCUCAUACCAAAAAUACCACAUACUUUGAGAGAAGGCAUAUAUCAUUACUGCUUUGGUAAGGAUCCAGAAAUACCACAAAAGAGAGACUAGAGAGAGUCAUACAAGAAAUCUCUGAGUUUUAUUUGAAAAUCUGCAAAAACUCCAGAGCUAUAGUUAUCGAAGAACAAGAGACAUGGUGCUUGACUAGACUGUUCUAUCUUUUAACUACUCAAGACAGAAGUGACAGUUGCAAGCCCCAUGGUGAAAGGUAAAAUGAGUAAGUUUUAAAUCUUAACAGUUUACUCUAACCCGAGAUGAGAUCUUGUUUAAACGCAUGUGUAUCUUUAAGUUAUGAAACCACUGCAGAAACUCUUGAGUUCAUCUUUGCUCAGGGACGAGCAAAGGUUAAGCUUGGGGGACCUUGUUGACGGUCCUUAAUGCUUACAUUUAACCAUCAACUAAUCAUAGAAAAGGAUCCAAAUGCAACCAACACCUAGACUUAGGGUUUUAUCUGAUAGAAUUCCACGAGUUUUGGUGUUUGUCUAUUUCUGCAGGGGGUUAUCAGGAAAUAAGGAAGAAAGGCCCACACGUCGGGUUUACAUAGAGAUAUUAAUGUGUCGCGCAAUUUUCUAUCAUCUAGAAGACUCCAGAAGCCACGGGAACGAACGGGGAGGAAAUCAGGCUUGGAGGCAGGGCGCCCGCCCAACUCUCCUGGGCGCCCGCCCAGCUACAGUGCCCAAUCAGGACACAUUUCGCGGAUCAUGCUCCACCGACCUAAUACUUCAAGGAAAACCACACGAUCAAUGUCGGUUUGAUCCGACGGCCCAGAUUCACUUGAAGGGACUAUAAAACCAGACCCCCCUGGCCCCUGGAGAUCAUACCUCUUCUACAGAAUCAAAGUUAGGGUUUCAAUUCUUCAUCCAAGUAGAGAGGAUCCCUCUAGUUCUUCUAGUUCUAGUUCUAGUUCAUCUGGUUCUAGUUCUAGUUCCUCUAGUUUUAGUUCUAGUUAGUUCUAGUUGUAAUCUAGAAAAUAGGGAGAGAGAAGAGGAGAGCGGAGGAGGAGCCGGAUCUGUCGAAUCUUCCUCAACAUUAUACUUUUGCAGCAUCUGGUUCAUUCUUCAUCGUUCUCCAGGUUCUUCAAUUCAUAAUUCCUAAGUUCUUUAAUUACUUUUAUUUACAUUCAAGUUAUUUAUUGGAUUCCCGCUUGCAUCAAGUGCUCUAGUCUUUAUAACGCUAGAGUAGUAAUUAAUAGAUUAGACG
rnacentral:lncRNA from 1 species